GGAUUGCCAUGCAACGGAUGCACUAGAGCUAUAAGUGCAUGAAAGCACAAAAAGAAACUAAGUGGGUGUGCAUCCAACUUGCUUGCUCACGAAGACCUCGGGCAUUUGAGGAAGCCCAUCAUUGGAAUAUACAAGCCAAGUUCUAUAAUGAAAUUUCCCACUAGUAUAUGAAAGUGACAAAAUGAGAGACUCUCUAUUAUGAAGAUCACGGUGCUACUUUGAAGCACAAGUGUGGUAAAAGGAUAGUAACAUUGUCCCUUCUCUCUUUUUCUCUCAUUUUUUUUAUUUGGGCCUUUUCUCUUUUUUUUAUGGCCUCUUUUUUUUAGUCCGGAGCCUCAUCCCGACUUGUGGGGGAAUCAUAGUAUCCAUCAUCCUUUCCUCACUUUGGACAAUUCUCUAAUAAUGAUGAUCAUCACACUUUUAUUUACUUACAACUCAUGAAUUACAACUCAAUACUUAGAACAAAAUAUGACUCUAUAUGAAUGCCUCCGGCGUUGUACCAGGAUAUGCAAUGAAUCAAGAGCGACAUGUAUGAAAGAAUUUUGAACGGUGGCUUUGCCACAAAUACAAUGUCAACUACAUGAUUAUGCAAAGCAAUAUGACAAUGAUGGAAUAUGUCAUGAUAAAUGAAACGGUGGAAAGUUGCAUGGCAAUAUAUCUCGUAAUGGCUAUGGAAAUGCCAUGAUAGGUAGGUAUGGUGGCUGUUUUGAGGAAGAUAUAAGGAGGUUUAUGUGUGAUAGAGCGUAUCAUAUCACGGGGUUUGGAUGCACCGGCGAAGUUUGCACUAACUCUCAAGGUGAGAAAGGACAAUGCGCGAUACCGAAGAGGCUAGAAAAUUACGGAAAGGUAAGUGUGCGUAUAAUCCCUGGACUCACAUUAGUCAUAAAUAACUCAUAUACUUAUUGCAAAAAUUUAUUGGCCCUCGAAGCAAAGUACUACUACGCAUGCUCCUAGGGGAAGGGUUAGUAGGAGUUAACCAUCGCGCGAUCCCGACCACCACACAAAGGAAGACAAUCAACAAAUACUUCAUGCUCCGACUUCGUUACAUAAUGGUUCACCAUACGUGCAUGCUACAGGAAUCACAAACUCCAACACACGUAUUUUUCAUUCCACAAUUACUCAACUAGCACAACUAUGAUAUUACCACCUUUAUAUCUCAAAACAAUUAUCAAGCAUCAAAUUUCUCUUGAUAUUAAUUAAAGCAAAUUGCCAUGCUAUUUUAAGGCUCUCAAAAUAAUAUAAGUGAAGCAUGAGAUAUCAAUAGUUUCUAUAAAAAAAAUCCACCACCGUGCUCUAAAAGAUAUAAGUGAAGCACUAGAGCAAAACUAUAUAGCUCAAAAGAUAUAAGUGAAGCACAUAGAGUAUUCUAAUAAUUUCCGAAUCAUGUGUGUCUCCCUCAAAAGGUGUGUACAGCAAGGAUUAUUGUGGUAAACUAACAAACAAAGACUCAAAUCAUACAAGACGCUCCAAGCAAAACACAUAUCAUGUGGUGAAUAAAAAUAUAGCUCCAAGUAAAGUUACCGAUGGAAGUAGAAGAAAGAGGGGAUGCCUUCCGGGGCAUCCCCAAGCUUUGGCUUUAUGGUGUACUUAGAUUAUCUUGGGGGUGCCAUGGUCAUCCCCAAGCUUAGGCUCUUGCCACUCCUUGUUCCAUAAUCCAUCAAAUCUUUCACCCAAAACUUGAAAACUUCACAACACAAAACUCAGCACAAAAUCUCGUGAGCUCCGUUAGCGAAAGAAAAUAAAAGACCACUUCAAGGUACUGUAAUGAACUCAUUCUUUAUUUAUAUUGGUGUUAAACCUACUGUAUUCCAACUUCUCUAUGGUUUAUAAACUCUUUUACUAGCCAUAGAUUCAUCAAAAUAAGCAAACAACACACGAAAAACAGAAUCUGUCAAAAACAGAACAGUCUGUAGUAAUCUGUAACGAACGCAAACUUCUGGAAAUUCAAAAACUCAGCCAAAAUAGGAAGACCUGGGAAAUUUGUUUAUUGAUCAGCAGAAAUUGGAAUCAAUAUUUUAUCACGUUCUGGUGAUUUUUAACAAUUAUUUUCGUGAACAGAAAGUUUCUGGAAUUUUCUGCAAGAUCAAAUAACUAUCAUCCAAGAAGAUCCUAUAGGUUUAACUUGGCACAAACACUAAUUAAAACGUAAAAACACAUCUAACCAGAGGCUAGAACAAAUAUUUAUUCCUAAACAGAAGCAAAAAGCAAAAAACUAAAAAAUAAAAUUGGGUUGCCUCCCAACAAGCGCUAUCGUUUAACGCCCCUAGCUAGGCAUAGUAGCAAGGAUAGAUCUAGGUAUUGCCAUCUUUGGCUUUAGGGAAAAAGAGAGAAAACUUGUUAUCUAUGGAAUUAAUCUUUCUAUUUUGACAAAGUACAUGGCCAUUAAUGGUAGAAGAAAGAUUAAGUAUGUUGCAGAAAUUGGCAUCUAGGCUAGCUUUUAUCUCUUUGAUAGAUUCGUUUUGGUAAGAAAGCAAAAGAGAUGUGAUUUCAACUUUCUCAUUAAUGGGGUGCCCAAAUAUAGUUUUCAUCUUUUCAUAGGUAACUAUGGGGUCCCCUUCGAGAAAACCCUCUUCAAAAAUAGAAUCUAAAACUUGUUUGAACGAAGCGGGCAACCCAACAUAAAAGCUCUUUAAGUAAACCUCAAUUUGAUAUUGAGGUACAUAGCUAGCCCGGAUCCUUAAUAUCCUAUCCCAAGCAUCUGUCAAAGAUUCAUCAAGUAAAUAAUGAAAAAUUCUAGAAUCAUCUUCAUCAAAAUUAGUAAGGUUUUCAUUGAUAACCCCGGCAGGUUUUUCCAUGGUAUUUUUAUUUAUGAGUUUAGAUAAGAUAGCAGGAUUGUCUAAAAAGCUAAAACUCGGGACCCAACUUUUUUUGGUUCCGACAUGGAAAGGGGAAAGUGAACGAAAAGAGGAAACCGGAAAAGAGGGGGCGAAUAAAACGGCAAGGGUGAAGUGGGGGAGAGGAAAACGAGAGGAAAACGGCAAAUAAUGUAAUGCGGGAGAUAAGGGUUUGUGAUGGGUACUUGGUAUGUUGACUUUUGCGUAGACCUCCCCGGCAACGGCGCCAGAAAUCCUUCUUGCUACCUCUUGAGCACUGCGUUGGUUUUCCCUUGAAGAGGAAAGGGUGAUGCAGCAAAGUAGCGUAAGUAUUUCCCUCAGUUUUUGAGAACCAAGGUAUCAAUCCAGUAGGAGGCUACACACAAGUCCCUCGCACCUACACAAACAGAUAAAUCCUUGCAACCAACGCGAUAAGGGGUUGUCAAUCCCUACACGGUCACUUACGAGAGUGAGAUCUGAUAGAUAUGAUAAGAUAAUAUUUGUGGUAUUUUUAUGAUAAAGAUGCAAAGUAAAAUAAAAGCAACGGAAAUAACUAAGUGUUGAAAGAUUAAUAUGAUGGAAAAUAGACCCGGGGGCCAUAGGUUUCACUAGUGGCUUCUCUCAAGAGCAUAAGUAUUUUACGGUGGGUGAACAAAUUACUGUUGAGCAAUUGACAGAAUUGAGCAUAGUUAUGAGAAUAUCUAGGUAUGAUCAUGUAUAUAGGAAUCACGUUCCGAGACAAGUAGACCGACUCCUGCCUGCAUCUACUACUAUUACUCCACACACUGACCGCUAUCCAGCAUGCAUCUAGAUUAUUAAGUUCAUAAGAACAGAGUAACGCUUUAAGCAAGAUGACAUGAUGUAGAGGGAUAAAUUCAUGCAAUAUGAUAAAAAACCCCAUCUUGUUAUCCUCGAUGGCAACAAUACAAUACGUGCCUUGCUGCCCCUACUGUUACUGGGAAAGGAUACCGCAAGAUUGAACCCAAAGCUAAGCAGUUCUCCCGUUGCAAGAAAGAUCAAUCUAGUAGGCCAAACCAAACUGAUAAUUCGAAGAGACUUGCAAAGAUAACCAAUCAUACAUAAAAGAAUUCAGAAGAUUCAAAUAUUGUUCAUAGAUAAACUCGAUCAUAAACCCACAAUUCAUCGGUCUCAACAAACACACCGCAAAAGAAGAUUACAUCAAAUAGAUCUCCAUGAGAGAGGGGAGAACAUUGUAUUGAGAUCCAAAAAGAGAGAAGAAGCCAUCUAGCUAAUAACUAUGGACUCGAAGGUCUGAGGUAAACUACUCACACUUCAUCGGAGGGGCUAUGGUGUUGAUGUAGAAGCCCUCCGUGAUCGAUGCCCCCUCCGGCGGAGCUCCGGAACAGGCCCCAAGAUGGGAUCUCGUGGGUACAGAAGGUUGCAGCGGUGGAAUUAGGUUUUUGGCUUCGUAUCUGAUCGUUUGGGGGUACGUAGGUAUAUAUAGGAGGAAGGAGUACGUCGGUGGAGCAACGUGGGGCCCACGAGGGUGGAGGGCGCGCCCGGGGGGUAGGCGCGCCCCCUACCUCGUGGCUUCCUGGUAGCUUUCUUGACAUAGGGUCCAAGUCCUCUGGAUCAUGUUCGUUUCGAAAAUCACAUUCCCGAUGGUUUCAUUCCGUUUGGACUCCGUUUGAUAUUCUUUUUCUGCGAAACUCUGAAAUAGGCAAAAAACAGUAAUUCUGGGCUGGGCCUCCGGUUAAUAGGUUAGUCCCAAAAAUAAUAUAAAAGUGAAUAAUAAAGCCCAAUAAUGUCCAAAACAGAAGAUAAUAUAGCAUGGAGCAAUAAAAAAUUAUAGAUACGUUGGAGACGUAUCACACGCUCCUCAUCUAACAGGUCAAGUGCUUCCUGACAUGCUUUUUCAUUGUCCGCUUCAACAUAAGCCGCCACGCGGGGCGAGUCAUGAGGGAUGUCACUAGGAAGAACCGCAUCUGCUCCGUAAACUAUGAAGAAAGGCGUGUAACCCGUAGACCUGUUGGGUGUGGUAUUAAUGCUCCAUAACACGGAAGGUAACUCCUCCACCCAACAACCCGGCGUCCUCUGUAAGGGAACCAUAAGCCGGGGCUUGAUGCCUCGCAGGAUCUCUUGAUCGGCUCUCUCAGCUUGACCAUUGGACCGGGGCUGAGCCACUGAUGAUACAUCAAGCCAGAUAUGUUCACGUUGACAGAACUCUUUCAUAGCACCCUUGGAGAGAUUGGUGCCAUUAUCUGUUAUAAUGCUGUGUGGAAAACUGAAACGGAAGAUCACCUUCUUGAUGAAUUGAACCGCCGUGGCCGCAUCACACUUACUGACCGGCUCUGCCUCGACCCACUUAGUGAAUUUAUCAACUGCCACCAAAAGGUGGGUCUUCUUAUCCUUGGACCUCUUAAAAGGUCCAACCAUAUCAAGCCCCCAGACUGCAAACGGCCAAGUAAUUGGAAUCAUCCGCAAUUCUUGAGCCGGCACAUGGGCUCGUCGUGAAAACUUCUAACAACCAUCACAUUUACUGACUAAAUCCUCCGCAUCCGCAUGAGCCGUCUGCCAAUAAAAUCCGCGACGAAAAGCUUUAGCAACAAGAGACUUAGACCCGGCAUGAUGACCACCACCUCCUUCAUGGAUUUCGUGAAGAAUAUCACGGCCCUCCUCUGGAGAAACACAACGUUGAAAAGCCCCUGUAACACUGCAAUGAUGUAGCUCGCCAUUGACAAUUGUCAUUGACUUAGACCGUCGGGUUAUCUGCCUGGCUAAGGUUUCAUCCUCAGGCAACUUGCCCCGGGUCAUAUAAGCCAAGUAUGGAACCGUCCAAUCAGGAAUAGCAUGAAGAGCCGCCACCAAUUGUGCCUCCGGGUCAGGAACAGCGAGGUCCUCCUCCGUGGGUAAUUUGACCGAAGGUUUAAGUAGAACAUCCAUGAAUGUGUUGGGCGGCACCGGCUUGCGCUGAGAUCCUAGCCGGCUUAAAUUGUCAGCCGCCUCAUUCUUCCUUCUGUCAAUAUGCUCAACUUGGUAACCCUUGAAGUGCCCUGCAAUGGCAUCAACCUCUCGUCGAUAAGCCACCAUAACCGGAUCUUUAGAAUCCCAUGUACCAGAAACUUGCUGAGCCACCAAAUCUGAAUCUCCAAAGCACCUCACCCGGCUUAGAUUCGUCUCCUUAGCCAUCCGAAGACCAUGAAGCAAGGCCUCAUACUCAGCUGCAUUGUUAGUACAAGGGAACAUUAACCGGAGAACAUAAGAAAAUUUGUCACCUCGUGGGGAAGUCAAAACAACUCCAGCCCCCGAGCCCUCCAACUGUCUGGAUCCAUUGAAGUGAAUAGUCCAAUAUGUGUUAUCCGGCUUUUCCUCAGGCAUCUGCAAUUCUGUCCAGUCAUUGAUGAAGUCCACGAGCGCAUGAGAUUUAAUGGCUGUGCGAGGCACAUACUUUAACCCAUGAGGCACAUGCUCAAUGGCCCACUUAGCAACCCGGCCUAUGGCCUCCCUGUUUUGGAUGAUGUCUCCUAAUGGAGCAGAGCUGACCACAGUAAUGGGAUGACCCUGAAAAUAUUGCUUAAGUUUCCGGCUUGCCAUAAAAAGCCCAUACACAAGCUUCUGCCAAUGAGGAUAUCUCUGCUUGGACUCAAUAAGCACCUCACUGAUAUAAUAAACCGGCCGUUGAACCGGAUAUUCCUUGCCUGCCUCCUUCUAUCCCACCACGAUAGCUACGCUGACAGCCCGGGCAUUAGCAGCCACAUACAACAUCAACGGCUCUUUAUCAAUAGGAGCAGCAAGAACGGGCGGCUCAGCCAGAUGCUUUUUCAAGUCCUCAAAUGCUUCAUUAGCAGCAUCACUCCAGACAAGAUUAUCUGUCUUCUUCAUCAUCUGAUACAGAGGAAUGGCCUUUUCUCCAAGGCGGCUUAUGAACCGGCUCAAGGCUGCAAUCCGACCCGCCAAGCAUUGGACAUCAUUGACACACUUUGGUUUAGCAAAGGAUAUAAUAGCCUUGAUCUUCUCCGGGUUAGCUUCAAUGCCUCUGUUAGAAACCAAAAAACCCAAGAGCUUGCCGGCUGGUACACCGAAAACACACUUGGCCGGGUUAAGCAUCAUCUUAUAGACCCGGAGAUUAUCAAACGCCUCCUUCAAAUCAUCAAUCAAGGUCUCUUUCUUCCUGGACUUCACGACAAUGUCAUCUACGUAAGCGUGAACAUUACGCCCAAUCUGAUUGUGAAGGCAAUUUUGCACACACCGCUGGUAAGUCGCCUAGGCACUCUUGAGCCCGAAAGGCAUAGAUACAUAGCAGAAGGCUCCAAACGGAGUAACGAAAGCUGUUUUCUCCUGGUCCUUAACUGCCAUCUUGAUCUGAUGAUAUCCGGAAUAACCAUCCAAAAAACUCAAACGCUCACAACCCGCCGUAGCAUCAAUGAUUUGAUCAAUACGAGGGAGCGCAAACGGAUCAGCUGGACAAGCCUUGUUCAAGUCCGUAUAAUCCACACACAUCCGCCAAGUGCCAUUCUUUUUGAGUACCAGUACCGGGUUAGCCAACCACUCAGGAUGGAAGACUUCCACGAUAAACCCGGUUGCCAAGAGCCGGGUCACUUCCUCUCCAAUAGCCUUCCGCCUCUCAUUAAAUCGGCAAAGAAACUGCUUGACCAGCUUGAAUUUCGGAUCAAUGUUAAGAGUGUGCUCAGUGAGUUCCCUCGGUACACCCGGCAUGUCUGAAGGCUUCCAUGCAAAGAUGUCCCGGUUCUCAUGGACGAACUCGAUGAGCGCACUUUCCUAUUUCGGAUCCAGAUUAGCACUGAUGAUGAACUGCUUGGAUGAAUCGCCAGGAACGAAAUCAACCAUUUUAGUGUCAUCUGCCGACUUAAAUUCGAGUGAAUGAUCAUGCUCUGUAGUUGGCUUCUUCAAAGACGUCAUGUCCGCCGGGUCAACAUUAUCUUUAUAAAACUUUAACUCCUCCGUUGCACAAACAGACUCAGCGUAGGCAGCGUCACCUUCCUCAUACUCCAAGGCUAUCUUCCGGCUUUCAUGCACCGUGAUGGUUCCCUUGUGACCCGGCAUCUUGAGCUGCAGAUACACAUAACAAGGCCGCACUAUGAACUUGGCGUAAGCCGGCCGUCCAAACAGAGUGUGAUAUGGGCUGUGGAUCUUGACCACUUCAAAGGUCAAUGUCUCUGAUCUAGAGUUGUGAUCAUCUCCAAAAGCAACCUCCAGAGCUAUCCUACCAACCGGGUAGGCCGACUUGCCAGGCACCAGGCCAUGGAAAACCGUGUUUGACGGCUUAAGAUUUUUAUCAGUCAACCCCAUGCAACAGAAAGUUUCGUAAUAAAGGAUAUUAAUGCUGCUUCCUCCGUCCAUGAGUACCUUGGUAAAUUUAUAACCUCCAACCUGAGGCGCGACCACCAACGCCAGGUGACCUGGAUUAUCAACCCGGGGCGGGUGAUCGUCCCGACUCCACACGAUGGGCUGCUCAGACCAGCGCAAGUAACGGGGAACCGCCAGCUCAACCGCAUUGACUGCCCUCUUAUGAAGCUUUUGGUCGCGCUUGCAUAAACUAGUGGUGAAAACAUGAUACUGCCCACUAUUCAACUGCUUCAGGUUGCUUUGAUAACCAGAUUGUUGUUGCUGUGUUGACUCCCCUGAUUACUCUGCUGAUUGUAACCACCCUGGUUGCCUUGAUUGCCUUGAUGACCUUGGAAUCCGAAGUUAGACCCGCCACCGCCAUAACCCGGUCCAUGAGAGCCGGAUCCUGAGCCACCGCCCGGCCCUUGAUUGUCUUAAAAAAUUGGAAUUUUUGAACUCCUUCAUAAUGAAACUAUCCUUCCAGAGGUGGCCAGACGGCCUUUCUCGCGUCCCAUGUUUCGGGCAGGGCUGAUUUAGCAGGUGCUCCAGAUUGACGCCUGAUCCGCUGGUUCGUGGGGGCGGCUUAACUUUACGACGCUGACCAUUGUUCUGCGUGUUGGUGCUAUCCACAAAAUCCAAACUAUUGUCAGCUUUGCGCUUACCGUUGUUUCCAUGCCUCAUCGGGUUUUGCUGCUGCCCUCUGGUGCUGCUGCUCUUCUUUCCCAUUCCCGGCUUAUCAUCGUCAGACUCGGGGUCCUUGGUACCAUUAGAGUCAGCAUACUUAACCAGAGUUGCCAUAAGUGUUCCCAUGUUAUUGCAGUGGCGCUUAAGCCGUCCUAACUUCUGCUUCAGAGGCGUGAACCGACAAUUGCCUUCCAACGUUAAGACUGCUGAAUCGGCAUUGAUGCGAUCCGACGAGUGCGGAAUUGCUGAGACCUGGCGCACCCAAUGGGAUGUUGAUUCACCUUGUUCUUGGACACAGGCGGCUAAAUCCACAAUUGACAUGGGCUGCUUGCACGUGUCUUUGAAAUUCUGGAUAAAACGGGCUUUUAACUCGGCCCAUGACCCAAUGGAGUUAGCUGGCAAGCUUUUCAACCAAGUACGAGUUGUUCCCUCCAACAUCAUGGUGAAGUAUUUAGCACAUGCAGCAUCGUCCACAUCCAACAUUUCCAUCACCAUCUCAUAACUCUCAAUCCACAUUUCAGGGGGUAAGUCGGCCGUGUAGUUGGGCACCCUACGGGGACCUUUGAAAUCCUUGGGCAGCCGCACAUUACGUAGAGCCGGGGCGAGACACGGCACACACAAAGUCCUGAAAGACACACCUGGCUCCACCGAAGUUGUCGGACGAACCGGAGAAAGCUGACGGGCCGCAUAUUGCGCUGCUAACUCGGCCUCUCGACGUGCUCUACCUUGAUCCACUACAUUCUGAGCAUCAGCACCACCGCCCGCCAGGUUAUGUCCAUGCAGCGGGUUACGGUUCCGCGCACUGCUUGACACAGCCGGUUCGUCAAUGUGCCUGCUGUAACUCCGGCUUGGGAGAGGGGUGGAAUGAAUCCUUUCCCGUCUGUAAGAAUAAGCUUGCUGCUGAACCAAUGCCGUCUGAAGGAGCUCCCUAGCCCUACGGGUCUCCACCGCCGUCGGAGACUCGCCUUCAACUGGGAGAGCCGCCAAUCGUGACGCUGCAGCGAUCAUGUUAUCCAAGGGAUUUGAAUAAUGACCCAGUGGCGUUGGCACACGCUGCGGCGGGAUAUUAUUUUGACGAGGCAGAUCCAUCAUGCGCGGCUGAACCGGGCCCCCCGUUCCAGGCGCUUCAACCCGGUUUACGACUGGCUGGUUACUGGUUCGUGCUCCUGGCAUGUUAAAGAGAUUCCUUACCUCGUAGACCGGCGGCAGACGAGUCUGAUGCCUACUUCUCAUGACUUCAUUAGAAGCGUUCUGAUCUAGCAUGAGCUGGUAAGAUUCCGACUGAAUCCUCUGAGCCUGAGCAUCCAACUCGGCCCGCUCUGCAGCCAUCCUGGUAUCCUCAGCCGCCAGGUCUUCCUUGGCUUGAGCUAUCUGAUCUCUCACCUUCGCGACUUCCGCGUUAUGCUGAUCUCGAUUUGCCGGGUUAACCUCCGCCGCCAGUAGUGUUGCCAAAGUGUCAAAUAAAUCGAACAAGACCUGAGCCGGCGGUCGCGCAGGGCCUCCUGCCCCGGCCGCCGUCACCGCUGCUGACCCGGAAAUCAAUGCUGCUGCAGUUGAAGAAUUCUGCACUGGCUGCGUACUGACCAUGAAGAUCGCAACCCGGUUCGGCGGGUCAGAGGGGUCCGGAAUACUAUCGCCAUCGGAACAGCCCCCAAGCCGGCCGUCUUGCAGUUGGUACAAUGACUCGGUUUCUCCAGUAGAUGACUCGCCAUCAGAGUAAACGACGGUCUCACCACCAGAUACCGAUCUAUCCUCAUAUUCCGCUCCCUGGAUGACUCCCACGAAGGCACGCUUCAUGGCAGGCUGAACCCGGGCGGGUCUCGCACGCUGAGCCGUCUCGACAAGGUCGGUGCAGAUAUCCGGCUCAGGGCCCGGUUCGCCGAUCCUGCCGAUGAAGACGUGGAUUCCGCCGAAGGGGACCCGGUACCCAUAAUCGAUUGAGCCGGCCUCGGGGCCCCAGCCUGCGUCGUCGAUGUAGAGCUUGCCGCGACGACUCUUAGUCAUCCGGCCUACGGCAUAUGCCUUGAUCCCUUCAAAGUUGCCCUUUAAGAACUCGAAACCACCGUGCGCUGGCCCCAUGGUGGGUGCCAACUAUCGUGGACUUAACACGGUAGAUGUCCUCAUGGAAGGACUUAGUUGCAGAGCCAUUGCGACAAGGUUAGCUUAAAGGGGUUAAACGGGACAAAGGACGCGAGGAGGCUAUACUGGUUCGGCCCCUUGCGGUGAAGGUAAAAGCCUAAUCCAGUUUGAGGUGGUAUUGCUAGGGUUUCGAUGACCAGGGAGCGAAUACGCUUGGCCUGGCUCUCGAUAUGUUCUUUCUUGUCCUAAACCGCCGCCGGGUCAUCCCCUUAUAUACACGGGCUGACGCCCUGCGGUCUACAGAGUCCCGGCCGGCUCAUACAACGUGUCCGGCUCGGUGACCUUUUCUACAUGCCUUACAAUACAAGUUUACAUACAUGGCGGUUUAUGUCUGUGGGCCAUAAGCCGCCUUCGGUUUUGGGCCCUCUACUAAGCCUAUCUGUGAACCGCCAUUGUUAACCUGAUCUUGGGAUUUAUUUGAGAUGAACCGCCAUUGGAUGACCCGGCCCCUCCUGGGCGGGUCAUACCUGAUAGUCAUAUCCCCAACACUUAGCUAAAAAGAGUUCAGGAGAAAUAGAAGCUAAGCUUGAAGACUGAGUUCUAAAGAAAGAAGCAAGAAUAUAGUUGGACUUAAAUAAUUCUAUCAUGCGCUGGAGUAAAGUUUGUGCUGCGACCCAGCUCAUCACAUUUCCAUAGAAUCUAAGGAGGCUUGGAAACUAGCAUGUACCUUAGUAAGAACAAGCUCUUAAAGAACUAAACCACAUUGUUCAAGAUUCUUAUUUUGACUUUUAGUUACACAAAAUGAAGAUAAUACUAGAAACGUUUAUUACAUAUCGCAUUAGUAGCAACAAACAUCCCUCCAUAAAUAGCCUCAAGAAGAGUGGGAAAUGCAUAUAUGAUGUUACUAAUUUAUGAUGUGAUAGCAAAAUUUCCUAUUAGUUAUGCAAAUAAACUUUGCGAAGAGAAUAUCCUAUUGUUCACUCCAAAUCUCCUAUUCAUGGCUAGAUAUAUGUAAUGCCUAAAAACGGUAGAGAGUGUUUAUUAUCUUUUACACAUUUACACCUGCUCAGCAAAAAGAUAUUUCUUUAUUGCUAGCAGGUGAUGAACCUGAAAUAGGGUGGAUGGGAAUAUCGCAAUGUCUUCCUGAAGACGUACACAUGCAUUUGCCUCAUCAUCCAUCCGUUUUUAUCUUUCUACCACGAAAGCAACAUGAAGAAACCAGAUGAAUGUGUUUCACCACUAUUAUGCAUCUUGCACAGAGUACCAUUAUAUGAAACAACAAAGUUAGACAUGUACCUUCACUUUAUUCCAGUCCAGCACAACUAGUACUGUAGGUAGUUGUUUCAAGCAUAAAUUGGGAAGCAUUUGUUAAUGCAUAUAGUAACUCUCGUAAUGAAGUCAUUCUCAAAUAGUAUCAGAGAAUAAGAAGUUGAGUCCUAAAUUACUUCAUUGAUUUAGUUCUCGGUUAGUUUUCUAUUUCUUGUUUCUUAGGUAGUUUGGGCUAUGAAUUUGUUGAUCACUCAUUAGUUGCAGGGCCCCCUUAUUUUCUCCGUCCCUAUAUGUGUCACUAUGUAAUCGUAUUUCCCUAUUAGCAGUCACUUAUUUGACAUUGAGAAGUCAGUAAAAUAUAGCAUGUGUUUUCUAAUCUUAGUUUUUGUUGUACUUUUGUGUAGUUUCUACGGGGGAUGUCAGAGAAGGACGAGAAGAUCAAAUUAUUAGUAGACAUGGGCUUUUCUAAAGAUGAAGCAAAUAUGGCUAUUACAAGAUGUGGUAUGACUCAUUUUGAAAUUGUUGCCUUCAUUUUUCCAAGAAAGGCAUCUUAUGCUAUAUAUUGUUGUUUAAAUUUCUUAGGUAUGGAUGUUGAUCUAUGUGAAUUAGUUGAUUCGAUAAGUGCAUCACGAAUUACAGAAGAUAGUCAUUCUAGAAACUUAUCUGACCAUCAGGUACCUAUUGUUUUGUUGUUAUUUGUAUAUGAAAACACUUACGCUCUUCUAAUUUGAUGUAACGACACUGCAAUAUCUAUAAAUUUGGCAGGUCACAGAUCAGUGCUUCCAUUCAUUUGGAGGGAGAAAGAAAGCAAGAUUGAUGGAAGAGAGCAAGAAAAAGAGGAACCGGUAUGGAGGUACAGCACAGGGAAAUCAACCCUCCUUGGAUGGUAGCCAUGAUGAACCAAUGCCUCUCCCAAAUCCAAUGGUUGGGUUUAAUUUGCCAGGUAAUUCGCAACCAUCAAUUACUAGAAUACUUCCUAAACAAGAUAGUGGACCACCCUUUUUCUACUAUGAAAAUGUGGCCCAUGCUCCCAAAGGCGUAUGAGUGACCAUUUCAAGAUUUCUUUAUGACAUUCAACCUGAGUUUGUGGAUUCUAAGCAUUUGUGUGCAACUGCAAGGAAAAGAGGCUACAUCCAUAAUUUGCCAAUUGAGAAUAGAUCACCUAUUCUUCCUAUGCCUCCAAAGACCAUAUUUGAGGCAUUCCCUCAUUACAAGAAGUGGUGGCCUUCAUGGGACCUGAGAACACAUCUCAAUUGCUUGCAAACAAAUGUUGCAAGUGCGAAGCUGACAGAACGGAUCGGGUGUGCUCUUGCAAGCUGGGACAGUCCACCGACUCGAAGUGUUCAAAAAUAUGUCAUGAAUGAGUGUAGAAAAGGGAAUCUUGUCUGGAUUGGAAAGAACAAGGUUGCUCCAUUGGAGCCUCAAGAGAUGGAAUAUCUACUCGGUUUCCCAAAGGAUCACACAAGGGGACUAGGCAUCACGGAGAGAUACAAGUGUCUCGGCAACACAUUUCAAGUUGAUACAGUUGCUUACCACUUGUCCGUUUUGAAGGUCAUGUUUCCCAAUGGUGUUAAUGUGUUGUCCUUAUUCACCGGUAUUGGAGGAGGAGAGGUAGCUUUGCACAGGCUGGGCAUCCACAUGAAGGCAAUGGUCUCUGUAGAGAUAAGAAAAGCUAAUAAGAGGAUUUUUAAGGGUUGGUGGGAUCAGACUCAGACAGGCACGCUCAUUGAGAUUGAUGACGUGAAAUCUCUUACCGAUGAUAGGAUUUUAUUAUUUGUUAGUAGAUUUGGCGGCUUCGACUUGGUGAUUGGGGGCAGCCCAUGUAACAAUCUUGCCUGGUGCAACAGAUACAACCGUGAUGGCUUGGAGGGCGAGCAAUCUGCUUUGUUUUGAAUGUAUUUUUGUAAUUCGUGUUAGGAAAAAUUCAUUACAUGUUGAUUUUUUUAAUUAUAUUGCUUUUUAAAUUGUGCAAACAAUUUUUUACAUUGUAUAAACAAUUUUUGAAAAUGUGACGAAUACAUUUUUGUAACUUUUCAAUAUAUCUUAAAAUGUGACAUACAUUUUUUUGAAUGUACAGUGCAUUUCUGUUUUACUGCACAAAUAUUUCUUUGCAUUCUAUAAAUAGUUUUGAAGUGCCACGUACAUUUUCUUGAAUUGUGAGACAUUUUGAUUUUUACAUUAAUUUUUCAUGCACAUGAUUAAAAAAAUUCAUACACAAGAUUAACAUUUUUGGUACACAUGAUUAACACUUACUCUUUUUCUAUUCACAUGAUAAUUUUCGUAUACACCAGAAAUAUUUUCUAUGGAAUGUUUAACAUUUUCAAAUACAAGAUUAAUAUUUUUCAAAUACAAGAUUAAGAUUUUUUAAAUUUCUAUGUAAAGUGAUUCUGUAAUAUUGAUAUUUUUAAUAUUAUGAAUAUAAACAAAAUUAAUUAAAUGAAACAAAAACGCGAAGGAAUGACAGAAAAAUCACUCAUGACGUCAGUCAGCGUGAUGCAGCUUGUUGUUACUGGGUCGGCCCUGUUUGGGUUCCCUCCAAGCGAGCCAUGCCAAGGCGUCUUAAUAAGCGGCACAUAGUCGCGCCCCUCAAAAAAGUUUCUUCAAAAAAACUGGCCUAAGGAAACUCAAACUUGGUCUAAAUUGCAAAAUUACCCUGGUGGUAUAUGCAAAAUUUAAGAAUACUUUGCCCAAAAUGUAAGAUAAUCUCUAGCAGGCCCUUUAUAAAUUGACCCUUAAAAACGCAUAUAAGGGGCGCUGUAAACCGUUUUUAGGGUGUGAAAUUGCCCUGGCCAGAGCAAGACCCCGUAAAUAAAAUUGUAUCCCACUAUAGCCCUUUUUUUCUUUCUCCUCCCGUCCCGGCAGAGUCCGUCUCCGGCCCCGGCGUGCCUCGCCCCGGUGCCCCGGCUCGCGCCGGCGCCGCCCGCCUCGCACCCCGCCUCACCACGGCGCCACUCGUUCCCGGCCACGCAUGUCGUGGAGGAGUCCUGUGCCACCCGCCCCAACCGCGCGCUCCCUGGAGCGCCUGCCCGUCCCCGAUUGAGCCCGGCACCGCGCGCGGCUGCACGCGCGGUCCUCGGCAUGGUCGCGCGAGCUCCCAGCGCCCCACCCCCGCCCUUCUCUGGCGCCGCCCCGCCCUGAUUCGGGCCACCAGUGGCUGUUGGGGAACGUAGCAAUAAUUCAAAAUUUUCCUACGUGUCACCAAGAUCAAUCUAGGAGAUGCUAGCAACAAGAGAGAGUGAGUGCAUCUGCAUACCCUUGAAGAUCGCUAAGCGGAAGCGUUACAAGAAUGCGGUUGAUGGAGUCGUACUCGCAGCGAUUCAAAUCGCGGAAGAUCCGAUCUAGCGCCGAACGGACGGCGCCUCUGCGUUCAACACACGUACAGCCCGGGGACGUCUCCUGCUUCUUGAUCCAGCAAGGGGAGAGGAGAAGUUGAGGGAGAACUCCAGCAGCACGACGGUGUGGUGGCAAUGGAGCUCGUGGUUCUCCUGCAGAGCUUCGCUAAGCACUACGGAGGAGGAGGAGGUGUAUGAGGAGGGAGGGCUGCGCCAGGGAAGAGGUGCGGCUGCCCUCCCACCCCUCCACUAUAUAUAGGGGCAAGGGGAGAGGGGGAGGCGCCCUAGGGUUUCCCCUAGGGGGCGGCGGCCAAGCAGAUUGGAUCUCCCUAGGGAAAAUCCUAGGGAGACUUGCCCCCCAAGCCAAGCAGGUGGAGGCUUGCCUCCCAAGCCAGGUGGAGUCGCCCCACCUCCCCAAGUAACGUGGGAAAGGGUGUGGGGGGCGCACCACCCCUUAGUGGGAUGGUUUGCCCCUUCCCCUUUGGCCCAUGAGGCCCUCCAACACUUGCCGGGGCUCCCGAAACACCUUUCGGUCAUGCUGGCCAUAGCCUGGUACCCCCGGAACACUUCCGGACUCCAAUACCCUUCGUCCAAUAUAUCGAUCUUCACCGCCGGACCAUUCCGGAACUCCUCGUGAUGUCCGGGAUCUCAUCCGGGACUCUGAACAACCUUCAGUAACCACAUACUAUUUCCCAUAACAACUCUAGCGUCACCGAACCUUAAGUGUGUAGACCCUAUGGGUUCGGGAACCAUGCAGACAUGACCGAGACACCUCUCCGGCCAAUAACCAAUAGCGGGAUCUGGAUACCCAUAUUGGCUCCCACAUGUUCCACGAUGAUCUCAUCGGAUGAACCACGAUGUCGGGGAUUCAAUCAAUCCCGUAUACAAUUCCUUGUAGAUGCAGCUACCACGCGCUACUUGGAGCUAUUCCAAAUAACUACUCUACUAUACGAAUCCGGUUUACUACUCAGAGUCAUCCGGAUUAGUGUCAAAGUUUGCAUCGACGUAACCCUUUAUGACGAACUCUUUUACCACCUCCAUAAUCGAGAAAAUUCCUUAGUCCACUAGUUACUAGGGAUAAGUUCAACCGCUGUCAUGUGAUCCAUUCCUGGAUCACUCUUGUACCCCUUGACUAAUUCAUGGCAAGGCACACUACAGGUGCGGCACACAGCAUAGCAUACUGUAGAGCCUACAUCUAAAGCAUAGGGGACGACCUUCGUCCUUUCUCUCUCUUCUGCCGUGGUCAGGUCUUGAGUCUUACUCAAUACUCACACCUUGUAACACAGCCAAGAACUCCUUCUUUGCUGAUCUAUUUUGAACUCCUUCAAAAUCCUGUCACGGUAUGCAUUCAUUUGAAAGUACUAUUAAGCGUUUUCGAUCUAUCCUUAUAGAUCUUGAUGCUCAAUGUUCAAGUAGCUUAAUCCAGGUUUUGUAUUGAAAAACACUUUUCAAAUGACCCUGUAUGUUUUCCAGAAAUUCUACAUCACUUCUGAUCAACAAUGUGUCAACAACAUAUACUCAACAGAAAUUCUAUAGUGCUCCCACUCACUUCUUUGGAAAUACAAGUUUCUCAUAAACUUUGUACAAACCCAAAAUCUUUGAUCAUCUCAUCAAAGCGUACAUUCCAACUCUGAGAUGCUUACUCCAAUCCUUAGAAGGAUUGCUGGAGCUUUGCAUACUUGUUAGCAUCUUUCAGGAUUGACAAAACCUUCUGGUUGUAUCACAUACAACCUUUCCUCAAGAAAAUCGUCGAGGAAACAAUGUUUUGACAUCCUAUCUGCAAGAUUUCAUAAAUGAUGCAGUAACUGCUAAUAUAAUUCCAACAGACUCUUAGCAUCGCUACGAGUGAGAAAGUCUCAUCGCAGUCAACUCCUUGAACUUGCCGGAAAACAUCUGAACGACAAGUCGAGCUUUCUUAAUUGUGACACUUACCAUCAUUGUCUGUCUUCCUUUUAAAAUCCAUCUGCACCCAACAGCCUUACGACCAUCAAGUAGUUCUUCCAAAGUCUAUACUUUGUUUUUAUACAUGGAUCCUCUCUCGGAUUUUAUGGCCUCGAGCCAUUUGUCGGAAUCUGGGCCCACCAUCGCUUCUCCAUAGCUCAUAGGUUCAUUGUUGUCUAGCAACAUGACUCCCAAGACAGGAUUACGUACCACUCUGAAGUAGCAUGCAUCCUUGUCGUCCUACGAGGUUUGGUAGUGACUUGAUCCGAAGUUUCAUGAUCACUAUCAUAAGCUUCCACUUCAAUUGGUGUAGGUGCCACAGGAACAACUUCCUGUGCCCUGCUACACACUAGUUGAAGUCAUGGUUCAAUAACCUCAUCAAGUCUCCACUCAAUUCUUUCGAGAGAAACUUUUCCUCGAGAAAGGACCUGUUUCUAGAAACAAUCACUUUGCUUCCGGAUCUGAAAUAGGAGGUAUACCCAACUGUUUUGGGUAUUAUAUGAAGAUGCAUUUAUCCGCUUUGGGUUCGAGCUUAUCAGCCUGAAACUUUUCCACAUAAGCGUCGCAGCCCCAAACUUUUAAGAAACGACAGCUUAGGUUUCUCUAAACCAUAGUUCAUACGGUGUCGUCUCAACGGAAUUGCGUGGUGCCCUAUUUAAAGUGAAUGCGGUUGUCUCUAAUGCCUAACCCAUAAACGAUAGUGUAGUUCGAUAAGAGACAUCAUGGUAUGCACCAUAUCCAAUAGGGUGCAGUUAUGAUGUUCGGACACACCAUCACACUAUGGUGUUCCAGGCGGUAUUAGUCGUGAAACAAUUUCCACAAUUUCUUAAUUGUGUGCCAAACUCGUAACUCAGAUAUUCAUCUCUAUGAUCAUAUCACAGACAUUUUAUCCUCUUGUCACGACGAUCUUCAACUUCACUCUGAAAUUACUUGAACCUUUCAAUAAUUCAGACUUGUGUUUCAUCAAGUAAAUAUACUCAGCAUCUACUCAAAUCAUCUGUGAAGCAAGAACAUAACGAUAUCCACUGCAUGCCUCAGCACUCAUUGGACUGCACACAUCAAAAUGUAUUACUUCCAACAAGUUGCUUUCUUGUUCCAUCUUACUGAAAACGAGGCCUUUCAGUCAUCUUGCCCAUGUGGUAUGAUUUGCAUGUCUCAAGUGAUUCAAAAUCAAGUGAGUCCAAACGAUCCAUCUGUAUGGACUUUUUUCAUGCAUAUAUACUAAUAGACAUGGUUCGCAUAUCUCAAUCUUUUCAAAAAUGAGUGAGUCCAAAGAUCCAUCAACAUGGAGCUUCUUCAUGCGUUUUAUACCAAUAUGACUCAAGUGGCUGUGCCACAAGUAUGUGGUACUAUCAUUACUAUCUUAUAUCUUUUGGCAUGAACAUGUGUAUCACUACGAUCGAGAUUCAAUAAACCAUUCAUUUUAGGUGCAAGACCAUUGAAGGUAUUAUUCAAAUAGACAGAGUAACCAAUAUUCUCCUUAAAUGAAUAACCGUAUUGCGAUAAACAUAAUCCAAUCAUGUCUAUGCUCAACGCAAACACCAAAUAACAAUUAUUUAGGUUUAACACCAAUCUCGAUGGUAGAGGGAGCAUGCGAUGCUUGAUCACAUCAACCUUGGAAACACUUCCAAAACAUAUCGUCAUCUCACCUUUAGCUAGUCUCCGUUUAUGUAGCCUUUUAUUUCGAGUUACCAACACUUAGCAACCGAACCGGCAUCUAAUACCCUGGUGCUACUAGGAGUACUAGUAAAGUACACAUUAAUAUAAUGUAUAUCCAAUAUACUUCUGUCGACCUUGCCUACCUUCUCAUCUACCAAGUAUCUAGGGUAGUUCUGCUCCAGUGACCGUUCCCCUCAUUACAGAAGCAUUUAGUCUCGGGUUUGGGUUCAACCUUGGGUUUCUUCACUAGAGCAGCAACUGAUUUGCCGUUUCAUGAAGUAUCCCUUCUUUCCCUUGCCCUUCUUGAAACUAGUGGUUUUACUAACCAUCAACAAUUGAUGCUCCUACUUGAUUUCUACUUUCGUGGUGUCAAACAUCGCGAAUAGCUCAAGGAUCAUCAUAUCUAUCCCUGAUUUGUUAUAGUUCAUCACGAAGCUCUAGUAGCUUGGUGGCAGUGACUUUGGAGAACCAUCACUAUCUCAUCUGGAAGAUUAACUCCCACUCGAUUCAAGCGAUUGUAGUACUCAGACAAUCUGAGCAUAUGCUCAACGGUUGAGCUUUUCUCCCUUAGUUUGUAGGCUUAAGAAACUUGUCAGAGGUCUCAUACCUCUUGACGUGGGCACGAGCCUAAAAUCCCAAUUUCAGCUCUUGGAACAUCUCAUAUGUUCCGCGACGUUUCAAAAUGUCUUCGGUGCCUCAAUUCUAAACCGUUCAACAUUACGCACUGAACUAUCACGUAGUCAUCAAAAUGUGUAUGUCAGAUGUUCGCAACAUCCACAAACGACGCUCGAGGUUCAGCACACCGAGCGGUGCAUUAAGGACAUAAGCCUUCUGUGCAGCAAUGAGAACAAUCCUCAGUUUACGGACCCAGUCCGCAUAAUUGCUACUAUCAACUUUCAACUAAAUUUUUCUCUAGGAACAUAUCUUGAACAGUAGAACUAAAGCGUAAGCCACGACAUAAUUUGCAAAGGCCUUUUGACUAUGUUCAUGAUAAUUAAGUUCAUCUAAUUAUUUAAUGAACUCCCACUCAGAUAGACAUCCCUCUAGUCAUCUAAGUGAUACAUGAUCCGAGUCAACUAGGCCGUGUCCGAUCAUCACGUGAGACGGACUAGUCAUCAUCGGUGAACAUCUCCAUGUUGAUUGUAUCUACUAUACGACUCAUGUUCGACCUUUCGGUCUCUUGUGUUCCGAGGCCAUGUCUGUACAUGCUAGGCUCGUCAAGUCAACCUAAGUGUUUCGCAUGUGUAAAUCUGGCUUACACCCGUUGUAUGCGAACGUUAGAAUCUAUCACACCCGAUCAUCACGUGGUGCUUCGAAACAACGAACCUUCGCAACGGUGCACAGUUAGGGGGAACACGUCUCUUGAAAUUUUCGUGAGGGAUCAUCUUAUUUAUGCUACCGUCGUUCUAAGCAAGUAAGAUGUAAACAUGACAAACAUCACAUGCAAAUCAUAAAGUGACAUGAUAUGGCCAAUAUCAUCUUGCGCCUUUUGAUCUCCAUCUUCGAGGCGCGGCAUGAUCACCUUCGUCACCGGCAUGACACCAUGAUCUCCAUCAUCAUGAUCUCCAUCAUCGUGUCUUCAUGAAGUUGUCUCGCCAACUAUUACUUCUACUACUAUGGCUAACGGUUAGCAAUAAAGAAAAGUAAUUACAUGGCGUUUUUCAUUGACACGCAGGUCAUACAAUAAAUUAAGACAACUCCUAUGGCUCCUGCCGGUUGUCAUACUCAUCGACAUGCAAGUCGUGAUUCCUAUUACAAGAACAUGAUCAAUCUCAUACAUCACAUAUAUCAUUCAUCACAUCCUUUUGGCCAUAUCACAUCACAUAGCAUACCCUGCAAAAACAAGUUAGACGUCCUCUAAUUGUUGUUGCAUGUUUUACGUGGCUGCUAUCGGAUUCUAGCAAGAACGUUUCUUACCUACGCAAAAGCCACAACGGUGAUAUGCCAAUUUAUAUUUACCCUUCAUAAGGACCCUUUUCAUCGAAUCUGAUCCGACUAAAGUGGGAGAGACAGACACCCGCUAGCCACCUUAUGCAACUAGUGCAUGUCAGUCGGUGGAACCUGUCUCACGUAAGUGUACGUGUAAGGUCGGUCCGGGCCGCUUCAUCCCACGAUGCCGCCGAAUCAAGAUAAGACUAGUAACGGCAAGUAAAUUGACAAAAUCGACGCCCACAACUACUUUGUGUUCUACUCGUGCAUAGAAACUACGCAUAGACCUAGCUCAUCAUGCCACUGUUGGGGAACGUAGCAGAAAUUCAAAAUUUUCUAUGCAUCACCAAGAUCAAUCUAUGGAGUAAUCUAGCACCGAGGGGAAGGGGAGUGCAUCUACAUACCAUUGUAGAUCGCUAAGCGGAAGCGUUGCAAGAACGCGGAUGAAAGAGUCGUACUCGUAGCGAUUCAGAUCGCGGUUGAUUCCGAUCUAAGCGCCGUACCAUGGCGCCUCCGCGUUCAACACACGUGCAGCCCGGUGACGUCUCCCACGCCUUGAUCCAGCAAGGAGAGAGGGAGAGGUUGGGGAAGACUCCGUCCAGCAGCAGCACAACGGCAUGGUGGUGAUGGAGGAGCAUGGCACUCUAGCAGGGCUUCGCCAAGCACUGCGAGAGACGAGGAGGAAGAGGGGUAGGGCUGCGCCAAGAGAGAGGGAGACCCAUCUAUGGCAGCCCCAAAACCCCCACUAUAUAUAGGGGAGGGGGAGGGGCUGCGCCCCCAUCUAGGGUUCCCCCCCAAGGGGUGCGGCCAGCCCUAGAUGGGACUUGGAGGGGCGGCCAAGGGGGGAGAGAGGGGGGCGCACCACUAGGUGGGCCUUAGGCCCAUCUGAGCCUAGGGUUUCCCCCUUCCCUGCGCCUUGGGCCCCUUGUGGGAGGCGCACCAGACCACCUAGGGGCUGGUCCCUUACCACACUUGGCCCACGCAGCCCUCUGGGGCCGGUGGCCCCACCUGGUGGACCCCCGGGACCCUCCCGGUGGUCCCGGUACGUUACCGAUAGCACCCGAAACUUUUCUGGUGACCAAAACAGGACUUCCCAUAUAUAAAUCUUUACCUCUGGACCAUUCCGGAACUCCUCGUGACGUCCGGGAUCUCAUCUGGGACUCCGAACAACAUUCGGUAACCACGUAUGUCUAUUCCCUAUAACCCUAGCGUCAUCGAACCUUAAGUGUGUAGACCCUACGGGUUCGGGAACCAUGCAGACAUGACCGAGACGUUCUCCGGCCAAUAACCAACAGCAGGAUCUGGAUACCCAUGUUGGCUCCCACAUGUUCCACGAUGAUCUCAUCGGAUGAACCACGAUGUCGGGGAUUCAAUCAAUCCCGUAUACAAUUCCCUUUGUCUACCGGUAUAGUACUUGCCCGAGAUUCGAUCGUGGGUAUCCCGAUACCUAGUUCAAUCUCGUUACCGGCAAGUCUCUUUACUCGUUCCGUAACACAUCAUCCCGUGAUCAACUCCUUGGUCACAUUGUGCACAUAAUGAUGAUGUCCUACCGAGUGGGCCCAGAGAUACCUCUCCGUUUACACGGAGUGACAAAUCCCAGUCUCGAUUCGUGCCAACCCAACAGACACUUUCGGAGAUACCUGUAGUGCACCUUUAUAGCCACCCAGUUACGUUGUGACGUUUGGUACACCCAAAGCAUUCCUACGGUAUCCGGGAGUUGCACAAUCUCAUGGUCUAAGGAAAUGAUACUUGACAUUAGAAAAGCUCUUAGCAAACGAACUACACGAUCUUGUGCUAGGCUUAGGAUUGGGUCUUGUCCAUCACAUCAUUCUCCUAAUGAUGUGAUCCUGUUAUCAACGACAUCCAAUGUCCAUGGUCAGGAAACCGUAACCAUCUAUUGAUCAACGAGCUAGUCAACUAGAGGCUUACUAGGGACAUGGUGUUGUCUAUGUAUCCACACAUGUAUCUGAGUUUCCUAUCAAUACAAUUUUAGCAUGGAUAAUAAACGAUUAUCAUGAACAAGGAAAUAUAAUAAUAACCAAUUUAUUAUUGCCUCUAGGGCAUAUUUCUAACAAUCUUCAACAGAGGCCCCUUCGUGAUUGCAUUGUGCCGUUGUCACAGACACUAGAACUAGAUCCUGCAUCAUCUUCUGGAUGCAAACCUUGCGCUUCUUCGUCACACACGUAUAGAACAUGCCCUCACAGUUCUCGAAAAAAAGAAUGGGCCCUCACGUGUAAUAAUCGACUUUCACGCGAGAUCAGCGCCGGCACUGGUGCAAUGCAUGAAGCGUUCAUUUCUUUGUCGUUGCCGAGCAACUCCUCCAGUGUGUAAUGUACUUGAAUCUUCCGUCAUCAUCCUCCACUGUGUCAACACCUUCUUAGCCGUUGUCAAGAUCGAAGGCCAAGAACCCCUUUGCCGCCUUGGCAUGUCCCUGGUACUGCCCUCACAGUUCUUCAAUUAUAUCGGCAAAGAACCCCAGCCGGAUGCACGUCAUCAUCGGUCACUACUCCGGCGGGCAGUCUUCGUUGGACAUCAACCAGCGCUUGAUCUCCUCUAGCAUUCUGCAUUCUUCGAGGGCCAUUUCUUGGCGGCGUGGAGUUUGGGGGAGUUGAGCAUUGGGAUUUCCACCAGACUUGACGUUGCGUUGGCUGUCUAGUUAAUUCUUCAAUAUGUUUCUCUAAAAAACAAGACAUUCUUUAAUCUGUGUGCCACACCGUGGGAUGCAAAAGAGAUUACUAGCCCUUGUUCGCAUUUUCUCACUUUGAGCAUGCAUCAGGAUCAUACCAAAUAAGAUCAGUCGCUUUGCCCAAAAGUGAGAAGUCCACUUUCAUCCCUAAACUCUUUUUUGAGGAAAUUCAUCCCUAAACUCUUUGGUUUGUCUAAGAUUCAACCCCCAUCUGUAAAACCGGCGAAGAUUCAACCCCCAACUCCCCGAACCGUUCAGGAUCCAAUCCAACCCUGCCCUCGGCCCGGUGCUAGUUUCCCAUGAGUCAGAUGAGUUUGACCGUGUUGACCAUCUAGUCAGCAUGUCAUGUUAUCCUAGUAAGGUAAAAAUAUAUAUCAUAUAAAGACAUAGCUAGUCAAGAGAUCGAUAAUCUAUACACACAAAUUAUUAAAAUAUAAAAAGAGGAAAGAAAAGCAUGACUCCAAAAUGUCAUGUCAAAGUGACGGUAGCAAGCAUCAACAUGCAACAACACCAACCGCCGCCUCUGACUCCAUUGGAACUGAAGGGAGGUUCUUCAAUGGUGGUGCCUCUGGAAAGGGAACUACGUCUCAUGUCGACAUUGUUAGAUCCAAUCACUGAAGGCCAGAUCCAGGGUUUUCACCCCAAAGAUCAAGUCCGAGCAAAUUGCAACCCAAUGCCUUGAAGAAGGGAAUGUCGUGUAAACACCACCAUUUUCAGGUACAACCAACUAAUGUGCCGAUGGCAUAUGGCAGGGUUCUAAGCAUGGUCGUCCCAUGUAGGUUGGAUUUACAUUUUUUUGGAAUCAACAUUCAUGGUGGGUACAUGACGAUUUGGUUCAUGGUCUUGCGCAGUCAUUGUCAUCUUUCCUGGUCAAAUGUGCUUAAUUACAGGAAGCAUGAAAAUGUUGCUAGUCCCUCGGCUCACAUGUACUGGACUUGGAAUUACGAGAAUGCCUUUUUUGUUUCCCACUCACUCGCUCGAUUUCAUGUAAAUUGCCUAUUAUAUGGAUGAUUUAUAAUACUUCUAUGAGAUAAUCUCUCUUUUCAGCACAUACUAAAAGUAAUACAUACCGAUGAACUGGGUAAAAAUCAAACUAACAUGAUGUAAUGUUUUUUUAUUUUCUUUGCUGACAUUGAAAAUGCCGAAUAAUAGCCUCUUUGCUCCCACCAAUUGUUCCUAGAAUGCAUGCUGAGUUGGUAGGAUUGACUUGUGCUUGUGACGUCCUCUUCUUUAACAUAUUCUUCGAUAGAGCUGGCAUGGCACUAUUGUUGUUUCGGCUCUUACUUGCUUGAUUUGAAAUGUGGAAUGCCACAUAUUAUGUUUCCCUCUCACCUUCUCAAUUUGACGUAAAUUAUGUGAUUGACAUCAAAUUUGUAGCUUUCUAAUGGUUCAACUUUCUUGCUUGAGGGUCGACCAUCUUCGGGCUACCCUCUCAGAGUUGUUGGGGGAAAUAGUUCGCUCUCCACACUAAACAUCACAUCAUCCUAUCCUAAAUGCCUCUUUGUCCCAACACCUUGGCCAAGAGACCACUCGAAAAUCCGGACGCUGGACAAGAGGGGGCAUUUCAUUUGUACGUGCUCUUGACAGCUAGUUUGCAAAGCACACUCAUGUACCGCCAAUAGCUAUGCGGCCUUAGUUAUGUUACUACCAAGAGAAACAUAAAAAUGCAGGAAGUUGCUAGCUAUGACGACUCAAGACCAAACAAACAUGUUUGUCGAGCCAAGAGAAUAUUAAACUAUUGUUGUGUGGGUAGGAUAGGACUUUUUUAGCUCCACUCACUCUGAACAACCGAGUCCCAUAGCAUCCUCAUGUACCACACAUGGCUACAUGGCAUGUGUUACAUCACUACCGAGGGUAACGCACUGAUGUAGCAAGUGACAUGAACGCACUCAAGACAAUCAAACUCCAAACAAUAUACUUUUCUCUCUUUUCUGACGUUAAUUGUUUGUAUUCUUUCCUCCAUAUGGCUCGUGGAAUUGGCCAGAAAGCAAGACUUCACAUAAUUAGUUGCCAUGCAUGUUCAUCAUCUUAGACACAUCUUACCAAUGACGCUGACCAUAAUGGCACCUGCGCAUGUUGCAUCUUGUGGAUAUUGAAGCUUGUUGAUCCUACACCUAUAUACGAACCUUAGGUAUGAUGUUUUAUUCUACUUCAUACUCUACUUCAAUGGAGAUUGCAUCAUGUGUACAUGAAUAAGUCAUGUGACUUUGUUAUCACGUUUCCAUGCGUGGAUGGUAACAUAUCGAGAAAGUGUGUAAUAGUUCUUUUUAGGAAGCAUCACAUUUUUGCUCGGACACAAUAGCAAAUACAAUGGAGGGCCAAGCAUGCAUGUGUAGUAGGAUGUCCUUUGCUAAUGUUUGAGUCUCUAAAGUGUGGAAGUACGAAGAACAAAAACAUGUCCACAUGAUUUGUAAAUGCCCUGCAUGGGAAAAUAUAAAAAGGAAAGAGAACAAGUUUGCGAAUGUCAUGUCCAAUUAUGUAAGUGAGUCAAAUAAUAUGGCCCAUAGUCAACUUAGUUGCAGUUACAAUGAUCUUACGGUUAUGCUUUGCUGAUUGAAAGAUGAUCCACUAGAUUAACGACCAGAUGUUUUGGUUUCUAUGGGAACGUCUUUGUUUUCUCUUGUUAACUUGUCAUGUACUUUUAACAUAUAAUGGAUUCUAAAUUUUUAUAUGUCGUUCAUGAUGGAACAUUGGCACUCCUGUGACCAAACAAUUCAAUUAGCAUGUUGAUACUCUUCAAUAAGUCUAUGUUGUUAGUUUAUGUUAUAGUGAUCCACCUAUAUGGUCCAAAACUCUUAGUUGUCUUGCACUCCACCUCAUGCAUUUGAGCUAUUUAUUUGUACAUCAGACUACCAUUUUUAAUCCAUUUGAUACAAGCAUCAUCAAGUUGAUAAUGGACAAACCUGGCAAUCUGAUCAACUUUUUAGAUUUACCAACUUGAUCACUCUCUUUCCAUAAAAUAGCCCCAUUACGUAUAACGGAUUCUAUUGUCUACUGAACUAUUAUAAUCUGAAAUCUAGCAUACUUCAGUUAAAUAGGAAUCCCCUUACUUGAAAUUAAACAACUUAUAAUUGUACUCAUGUAUAUUUUUUGGGGAUUAUCUUAUGGCAGUGUUGUGACAGUGUCGAUGGGAGUUUGUUCACUAAAAAAGGUGGUCUUUCCUUCUAGCUUUUUUGAAGUGUUCUACACACUAAAAUUGAAUUGCUAUACUAAUUUCAUGCUAGAGAUGCCAGUUGUGAUAUCUUGUUGUGACUGUGUGCAAGAUAUAAUUAUUGUUCUUCUCCUCAGUUACUUUUUUCUUAGUUUUCUUUAAAUCGCUGAGGUGUGCUUAACUCAUCUCACAGCGAUGGACAAGCGAUAGCGAUGAUAGUGAUAAGGAUCAAAUGUUAGGAUUGGUGAUGUCAAAUGCAGGCACUUAAAGAUGAUGAUGAUCUUGAUUUUGAGAAUUCGGAUGGCGAUGACGAUGCUGGUGAUACAGAUACCGAGUCUAAUGGUUCUAGUGAUGAGGUCGAUAAUUCCUUUUCUCUAGUUUAGUAGUUGAAAAUUAUUUAACCAUAUGUAUGCUGAUAAAUGUGAAAUCUUUGACAUGCAUACUUUGAGCACCCCCUAUACGUACUGUUUUAGCAUUGUUUGUUUUGCUUCUGCGUUUCAUUGGUGUAUAAUUGCAUUGUGAAGUUUGAGCACCCAUUUUUUUACCUAGAACUAUUAUCAUGUUUAAGUUUUAUCGUGUAAGAGUGAUCAUAGGAAGUAAGAUUGAAUACCAUUAGGACAACGACUCUCGCAAAGUAAUCAAAUGAACCUAAAAGGAGUAGAAACUAAAUGUAUUAUUGGGUUGCUUGUUUGUCAUUUUGAUGAAUUUUAACAUUUAUUUCUGUUAGAUACCACUCCUUUUCUCAUUAGUUCCUAUACAUUUGAAUAUUAGUUACAAGACAUAUGAUUUGUGGAGUUAUGAUGCUACAUGCAAAUACUCUUACAUGUGUUAUAACUUGUAACCAAGAGAUGAUAGACACAUAUUGCAAGAACUUUAACCUCCAGGAAUCCCAAAAUUAUGCAUCACUUAUUCUCUUUGAUUUAUUUUCUAGUCCAUGAUAUAGUAUACAAUAGGACUUAGCUAAAAAGAGUUCAGGAGAAAUAGAAGCUAAGCUUGAAGACCGAGUUCUAAAGAAAGAAGCAAGAACAUAGUCGGACUUAAAUAAUUCUAUCAUGCGCUGGAGUAAAGUUUGUGAUGCGACCCAGCUUAUCACAUUUCCAUAGAAUCUAAGGAGGCUUGGAAACUAGCAUGUAGCUUAGUAAGAACAAGGUCUUAAAGAACUAAACCACAUUGUUCAAGAUUCUUAUUUUGACUUCCAGUUACAAAAAAUGAAGAUAAUACUAGAAACGUUUAUUACAUAUCGCAUUAGUAGCAUCAAACUUCCCUCCAUAAAUAGCCUCAAGAAGAGUGGGAAAUGCAUAUAUGAUGUUACUAAUUUAUGAUGUGAUAGCAGAAUUUCCUAUUAGUUAUGCAAAUAAACUCAGCGAAGAGAAUAUCCUAUUGUUCACUCCUACUCUCCUAUUCAUGGCCAGAUAUAUGUAAUGCCUAAAAACGGUAGAGAGUGUUUAUUAUCUUCUACACAUUUAUGCCUGCUCAGCAAAAAUAUAUUUCUUUAUUGCUAGUAGGUGAUGAACCUGAAAUAGGGUGGAUGGGAAUAUCGCAAUGUCUUCUUGAAGACGUACACAUGCAUUUGCCUCAUCAUCCAUCCAUUUUUAUCUUUCUACCACGAAAGCAACAUGAAGAAACCAGAUGCAUAUGUUUCACCACUAUUAUGCAUCUCGCACAGAGUACCAUUAUAUGAAACAACAAAGUUAGACAUGUACCUUCACUUUAUUCCAGUCCAGCACAACUAGUACUGUAGGUAGUUGUUUCAAGCAUAAAUUGGGAAGCAUUUGUUAAUGCAUAUAGUAACUCUCGUAAUGAAGUUAUUCUCAAAUAGUAUCAGAGAAUAAGAAGUUGAGUCCUAAAUUACUUCAUUGAUUUAGUUCUCGGUUAGUUUUCUAUUUCUUGUUUCUUAUGUAAUUUGGGCUAUUCAUUUGUUGAUCACUCAUUAGUUGUAGGGCCCCCUUAUUUUCUCCGUCCCUAUAUGUGUCGCUAUGUAAUCGUAUUUCCCUAUUAGCAGUCAAUUUUUUGACAUUGAGAAAUCAGUAAAAUAUAGCAUGUGUUUUCUAAUCUUAGUUUUUGUUAUACUAUUGUGUAGUUUCUACGGGAGAUGUCAGAGAAGGACGAGAACAUCAAAUUAUUAGUAGACAUGGGCUUUUCUGAAGAUGAAGCAAAUAUGGCUAUUACAAGAUGUGGUAUGACUCUUUUUGAAAUUGUUGCAUUCAUUUUUCCAAGAAAGGAAUCUUAUGCUAUAUAUUGCUGUUUAAAUUUCCUAGGUAUGGAUGUUGAUCUAUGGGAAUUAGUUGAUUCGAUAAGUGCAUCACGAAUUACAGAAGAUAGUCAUUCCAGAAACAUAUCUGACCAUCAGGUACCUAUUGGUUUGUUGUUAUUUGUAUAUGAAAACACUUACGCUCUUCUAAUUUGAUGUAACGACACUGUAAUAUCUGUAAAUUUCCCAGGUCACAGAUCAAUGCUUUGAUUUAUUUGGAGGGGGAAAGAAAGCAAGAUUGAUGGAAGAGAGCAAGAAAAAGAGGAACCGGUAUGGAGGUAGAGCACAGGGAAAUCAACCCUCCUUGGAUGGUAGCCAUGAUGAACCAAUGCCUCUCCCAAAUCCAAUGGUUGGGUUUAAUUUGCCAGGUUAUUCGCAACCAUCAAUUACCAGAGUACUUCCUAAACAAGAUAGUGGACCACCCUUUUUCUACUAUGAAAAUGUGGCCCAAGCUCCGAAAGGCGUAUGAGUGACUAUUUCAAGAUUUCUUUAUGACAUUCAACCUGAGUUUGUGGAUUCUAAGCAUUUGUGUGCAACUGCAAGGAAAAGAGGCUACAUCCAUAAUUUGCCAAUUGAGAAUAGAUCAGCUCUUCUUCCUAUGCCUCCAAAGACCAUAUUUGAGGCAUUCCCUCAUUACAAGAAGUGGUGGCCUUCAUGGGACCUGAGAACACAACUCAAUUGCUUGCGAACAAAUGUUGCAAGUGCGAAUUUGACAGAACGGAUCGGGCGUGCUCUUGCAAGCUCGGACAGUCCACCGGCUCGAAGUGUUCAAAAAUAUGUCAUGAAUGAGUGUAGAAAAGGGAAUCUUGUCUGGAUUGGAAAGAACAAGGUUGCUCCAUUGGAGCCUGAAGAGAUGGAAUAUCUACUCGGUUUCCCAAAGGAUCACACAAGGGGACUCGGCAUCACAGAGAGAUACAAGUCUCUCGGCAACACAUUUCAUGUUGAUACAGUUGCUUACCACUUGUCCGUUUUGAAAGUCAUGUUUCCCAAUGGUGUUAAUGUGUUGUCCUUAUUCACCGGUAUUGGAGGAGGAGAGGUAGCUUUGCACAGGUUGGGCAUCCACAUGAAGGCAAUGGUCUCUGUAGAGAUAAGAAAAGCUAAUAAGAGGAUUUUUAAGGGUUGGUGGGAUCAGACUCAGACAGGCACGCUCAUUGAGAUUGAUGACGUGAAAUCUCUUACCGAUGAUAGGAUUUUAUCAUUUGUUAGUAGAUUUGGCGGCUUCGACUUGGUGAUUUGGGGCAGCCCAUGUAACAAUCUUGCCGGGUGCAACAGAUACAACCGUGAUGGCUUGGAGGGCGAGCAAUCUGCUUUGUUUUGAAUGUAUUUUUGUAAUUCGUGUUAGGAAAAAUUCAGUACAUGUUGAAACAUUUUUUUAAUUAUAAUGCUUUUUAAAUUGUGCAAACAAUUUUUUUACAUUGUAUAAACAAUUUUUGAAAAUGUGACGAAUACAUUUCUGUAACUAUUCAAUAUAUCUGAAAAUGUGACAUACAUUUUUUUGAAUGUACACAACAUUUCUGUUUAACUGCACAAACAUUUCUUCGCAUUCUAUAAAUAUUUUUGAAGUGCCACGUACAUUUUCUUGAAUUGUGUGACAUUUUGAUUUUUACAUUAAUUUUUCAUGCACAUGAUUAAAAACAAUUCAUACACAAGAUUAACAUUUUUGGUACACAUGAUUAACACUUACUCUUUUUGUAUUCACAUGAUAAUUUCCGUAUACACCAGAAAUAUUUUUUUAUAGAAUGUUUAACAUUUUCAAAUACAAGAUUAAUAUUUUUCAAAUACAAGAUUAAGAUUUUUAAAAUUUCUUUGUAAAGUGUUUUUGUAAUAUUGAUAUUUUUAAUAUUAUGAAUAUAAACAAAAUUAAUUAAAUGAAACAAAAACGCGAAGGAAUGACAGAAAAAUCACUCAUGACGUCAGUCAGCGUGAUGCAGCUUGUUGUUACUGGGUCGGCCCUGUUUGGGUUCCCUCGAGGCGAGCCAUGCCUAGGCGUCUUAAUAAGCGGCACAUAGUCGCGCCCCUCAAAAAAGUUUAUUCAAAAAAACUGGCAUAGGGAAACUCAAACUUGGCCUAAAUUGCAAAAUUACCCUGGUGUUAUAUGCAAAAUUUAACAAUACUUCGCCCAAAAUGUAAGAUAAUCUCUAGCAUGCCCCUUAUAAAUUGACCCUAAAAAACGCGUAUACGGGGCACUGUAAACUGUUUUUACGGUGUGAAAUUGCCCUGGCCAGAGCAAGUCCCCGUAAAUAAAAUUGUAUCCCACUAUAGCCGUUUUUUUUCCUCCAGUCCCGGCAGAGUCCGUCUCCGGCCCCGGCGUGCCUCGCCCCGGUGCCCCCGCUCGCGCCGGCGCCGCCCGCCUCGCACCCCGCCUUAUCCCGGCGCCGCCCGUUCCUGGCCACACAUGUCGUGGAGGAGUCCUGUGCCACCCGCCCCAACCGCGUGCUCCCUGGAGCGCCUGCCCGUCCCCGAUUGAGCCCGAGACCGCGCGCGGCUGCACGCGCGGUCCUCGGCAUGGUCGCGCGAGCUCCGAGCGCCCCACCCCCGCUCUUCUCUGGUGCCGCGCCGCCCUGAUUCGGGCCACCAGUGGCCUGCUCCGCCCGGCCCGUGGACAGCCUCGCCUCAGCAGUGGAGGUCGAGUCGGCCGCAAUUCGGACCGGAGGCGGCAAAUUCCAGCGUGCGGCGCUUCUUCCGACAUGCGGCGACGGAUUCCGGUGAGUUCCGGGUAGAUUCCGACCAGUUCCGCGGCGGCGCGUCUACUUCGACGAGGUUUGACCGGUUUACGGGUUGAACUGUAUACUGCCUUCAAAACUGUACAUAUGAGGUUUUUGCGGAUGGAUUUUCAUUGCCCUUUAAAAAGUUUAAGGGCCGAUCGAGUUUUACGGGAUCUACUAGGCGCUGUUUUAAACUGUAAAUAUGGAUUUUUUACGGGUUUGAUCGCUUUUAAGCAGGGCGGCCCUGUGUUUAGGGAGGCCCUAGGCGUACUGGACGACAUGGGCCCUAAGUCAAAGAACCCUUCAGUGGUCGAAUUUUCAGACCACCUUUUUUCUUUCUUCUCCCUUUUUAGCACCCGACAAAUGUAUCUUAGGCAACAUGACAGGCUAAUGUCCUAAAAUUAUGAAGUAAAGAGUAUACAAAGAAUUAGAAAUUUAUAGAUCGGAUGAUUGGAACACUUGACAUGUAUACAGAAUGGCAGAAAAUUAGGAUGGUUGAAUACAUAAUGUGAAAGAUUGAACUAGAAAGUUAUACAUAAAAAAUUUGAAACUUUGUGGGAUGAAUCAUGGAUGAAUAGUACUCCAAUAGACGUGCUAAAAAACUACUGAAAAUAUGAAAUUGAGGGAUGGAUGAAUGGAUCAGGAUACGUACUGAAUCGGCCGUCACAGAUGCAUAACGUAUUGCCAUAUUGCCGGAAGGCCGGAUUGCCGGAGUGGCGGACUGCGGCGUGCGGCGGUGACAACAAGCGGCCGAGGCGCCGAGCGAGGAGCGAUGGAGCGACGGGCCGAUGAGACGAUGAAUAUGAACCGAGUGACGAACAGGGAAAGCCAGAUCAAUCGAUCGAUUUGUUUGAAAACACACGUACGCAUUUCAAUCACAGUCCCUUGCGGCCGUGACUUGCGUGCGCCGAUGCUUAUCUACCUAGUGAUCCGAAGGGCCCAUCUCGUUUUUCUUUCAUACAUUUUUUCCGGGAGCAACUAGUUAACCAGCGCUCCUUCGUAACGAGCGGUUCGGGAGCGCUCCGCGCGUGACAAGUGUCGCGCGUGGAGCGCUUCCGCAAGGGAAAACUAGUUGCGCGGUUGGUUCCCGGUUUUCCCUUUCCGGUUUGUGGUUUGGUGCGUUUUGCAGUUUGACCCUCGAACUACCAGAAUUUUCCGUUUUCCCUUUCCGCGCGAAAACACAAAAAAAAUACCAGCUCGCGCGGUUGGUUUCCUGUUUCCCUUUCCCGUUUCCCUUUUUGUUCCCAUUAUAUUUCCGGGUAAUGGAGAUUUAUGGUGUAGUUGCGGGCCGGGACUACCAACACUAUCAAAUGUGACCUUUCAAGUAAAGAAAAAAGCAACUUUUUAAUGUAAAACGGCAGUCUCCAGAAUCGUUCAAUCGUGUGACUUCUUUAUAGGCACAGGUGAACACUAGGAGAGGCACGGUGUAUAAUAACUUUAGUAAAUUGAAGAAAAGUGCCUCCGGCUCGCCUUCGGCUCGUUCAAUUUUCAUAAANNNNNNNNNNNNNNNNNNNNNNNNNNNNNNNNNNNNNNNNNNNNNNNNNNNNNNNNNNNNNNNNNNNNNNNNNNNNNNNNNNNNNNNNNNNNNNNNNNNNNNNNNNNNNNNNNNNNNNNNNNNNNNNNNNNNNNNNNNNNNNNNNNNNNNNNNNNNNNNNNNNNNNNNNNNNNNNNNNNNNNNNNNNNNNNNNNNNNNNNNNNNNNNNNNNNNNNNNNNNNNNNNNNNNNNNNNNNNNNNNNNNNNNNNNNNNNNNNNNNNNNNNNNNNNNNNNNNNNNNNNNNNNNNNNNNNNNNNNNNNNNNNNNNNNNNNNNNNNNNNNNNNNNNNNNNNNNNNNNNNNNNNNNNNNNNNNNNNNNNNNNNNNNNNNNNNNNNNNNNNNNNNNNNNNNNNNNNNNNNNNNNNNNNNNNNNNNNNNNNNNNNNNNNNNNNNNNNNNNNNNNNNNNNNNNNNNNNNNNNNNNNNNNNNNNNNNNNNNNNNNNNNNNNNNNNNNNNNNNNNNNNNNNNNNNNNNNNNNNNNNNNNNNNNNNNNNNNNNNNNNNNNNNNNNNNNNNNNNNNNNNNNNNNNNNNNNNNNNNNNNNNNNNNNNNNNNNNNNNNNNNNNNNNNNNNNNNNNNNNNNNNNNNNNNNNNNNNNNNNNNNNNNNNNNNNNNNNNNNNNNNNNNNNNNNNNNNNNNNNNNNNNNNNNNNNNNNNNNNNNNNNNNNNNNNNNNNNNNNNNNNNNNNNNNNNNNNNNNNNNNNNNNNNNNNNNNNNNNNNNNNNNNNNNNNNNNNNNNNNNNNNNNNNNNNNNNNNNNNNNNNNNNNNNNNNNNNNNNNNNNNNNNNNNNNNNNNNNNNNNNNNNNNNNNNNNNNNNNNNNNNNNNNNNNNNNNNNNNNNNNNNNNNNNNNNNNNNNNNNNNNNNNNNNNNNNNNNNNNNNNNNNNNNNNNNNNNNNNNNNNNNNNNNNNNNNNNNNNNNNNNNNNNNNNNNNNNNNNNNNNNNNNNNNNNNNNNNNNNNNNNNNNNNNNNNNNNNNNNNNNNNNNNNNNNNNNNNNNNNNNNNNNNNNNNNNNNNNNNNNNNNNNNNNNNNNNNNNNNNNNNNNNNNNNNNNNNNNNNNNNNNNNNNNNNNNNNNNNNNNNNNNNNNNNNNNNNNNNNNNNNNNNNNNNNNNNNNNNNNNNNNNNNNNNNNNNNNNNNNNNNNNNNNNNNNNNNNNNNNNNNNNNNNNNNNNNNNNNNNNNNNNNNNNNNNNNNNNNNNNNNNNNNNNNNNNNNNNNNNNNNNNNNNNNNNNNNCGUGCGGUGCGUUGUACGUCAUGGUGUGGCACGGCGCCUCCGGCGCGAGGGAACCUCCGGCUCGCCUUCGGCUCGUUCAAUUUUCAUAAACAUCUUGAAGGGGGAGGGGGCAUAGGUCGAAGUGUGUGUUGGUCGUGCAGCGUGCUGGUUCGUGCGGCGCGUUGUACGUCGUGGUGUGGCAUGACGCCUCCGGCGCGAGGGAACCUGCUUGUUUAAUUUUUAUAUAGCAGGUUGUGCAGAAGGCAAGCUGCUUUGUUUCGAAAGGCACGGGUUUCAAGCAUGUGCAAUCACGUCUGCCUACGAGCUAGGUUUGUGCGUGCAUUCACAUGUGUGUAUACUACGAAGGCAUUGGUAUGUUGUCUCCGGAGGCACGGGUUUGAAGCAUGUAAAGUCACGUGAAGUCAUUGGUAUGUUGCCUCCAGAGGCACGGGUUUGAAGCAGGUAAAGUCACGUGAAGUCAUUGGUAUGUUCCCUCCAGAGGCACGGGUUUGAACCAUGUGAAGUCACGUGUGCGUAGGAGCUAGUCACGGUUGAGGCGUUCUUGGUAUUUGUGUGUGGAUAUUGCCCGGAUGCAUGGUGACCCAGGCUUUGGUGGCACAAGGCCAUGUCACCUCUGGAGGCACGGGAGGGUGGUCUCCAGAGUCACGCGUAAGGGUAUGUGUGUGUGUGGAUAUUGCCCGGAGGCAUGGUGACGCAGGGUUUGGUGGCACAAGGCCACGGGAGGGUGGUUUCCAGAGUCACGCGUAAGGGUUCGUUUUGGGAGUCACUGCUGUCGUACAAAUAAGAAGAGGCAUUGUUGUUUAUAGUUUACUGACACUCUCUGAUGAUGUAAGAGGCACUGUUGUCGAAAUAGUUCUCUUUUCAACAUGAACACGCAAUUUCUAACUACAUUACAUAGAAAUGUGAGUUAUUGAUAAACUUCUUUGUCACGUCUAGAUAGAAUUAGCCUCGCGGGCUAAAUCAAAAGUUUUAGUCUUCAUUUUUGCUCAAGAUCUUGCUAAUCUCGUCACCCAUUUCACUAGCUUUGACUUGAUUCAUCUCGCUACUUAAGAGAAUGUACAUUGCCUCAGACCUCCAGUCUUCGACCUCAUCCUGUGAAAUUUUGCGGAGAAGGGAAGUAUAUUAUUAGAGUUUGUGCAUAUAAGUUGUUUAUAAGUAAAUCUAUAUAAACUUACUGUCAAAUCUUCCAGGUCUUCGACAAACUUUUCACCAUUGUAGAGGAAUUCAAGCUUUAAAAUAGCAAAUGUUGAUUCUCCCUUUUCUACCACUGGAACAUCUUGCACGGUAUGAAUCUGCCAUCUUGUACCCUUGGCAUUCAUUGUUUGUCCUAGUAUGGUGUUGAAGACUUCUUUAAACCUAGGUACCUGGGAAUAUUGAAUUUUGUAAUUAAUUGUUUAAAUAUUGCAACUUAUAAAACUGAAAAAAUUAUUAUGUAUCAAUGCUUACGAUUGCCGACUUAUGAACUUGAUAUUCCUGAAACUUUCUUUCUCUUUCUUAUUGGUGUAUAGGAGUGGAGGCACCGAAGUGCCUUCUUGGGUGUUUUAAGUAGUUGGUGUUAUUGACAGACAACCGUGCCUUUGUAGUGUUCUUCUCUGAGGGUCACGGGCGUAAGCAAUGUUUUCCAAGGAGAAUAAACACCUAACUACCUCUGUAUUCAAAUUUUUUUUCCAAAGUGUUCCAUACGAACGAUUUUUAAUAUUUGUGUGUGCAAUGGUUUGUUAGAACAUUGUGCACUGCUUUUAGGAGCAUUCUGUAAUUGUUGUCCCUGCAUUUCGACGCUGCAUCCACAAAGGUACUAGUGCAUUGCAUGCUCGUCAUUUUUGUGGAUUGCUAUGUGUAUCUGCUCUGUGCGUUACGCUAAUCGUAUAGUAUCUAUACUGUGUUUAUAUUUUUCAGUUCACACCAAUAUAUUCUAAUAAUAGAAAACUGCAACAUUGCACUGGAAAUAAACUUGUUCAAAAGAUAUGUAAACUGGAAGCAAACUACAAGGUUAACUGCGACACAAUCAAAUCUAAAUUUAGAACAAGCAAACGGCAGUCUUAAGAGAAAGCAAAUCUAACGGGAAAUCUAGAAUGGCAUGAGCAAUCUUCUAGUUACUUUUCUUGGCCGGGACCACCUGCUUCAGUAGUCAUAGUCGCCCCAGGACCUUGCGCGCUUCCUGGUCUGCUCCUUCUCGAGUUUUGCCCGGCGGAGGCCUUCCUGGAUGAUGGUGAGGCGGCUCCAUAUCUCGUACGCAGCGUAAGCAUCUUUUGCCGCGUACUCGAUGUGCCUCAUGGACAGGGGCAUGCACGCCCAGCGCUGGUGCUCUGCGUUGGUGAGCUUCUUCUUCAUGUUGUAGUAGUCGUGGACAAGGAUGCCAGAGACAUCCCCAAGGGAGUCCAGAGGCUUGGUAGCUGUAGGCACCCUCCAUUCCUUCUGGACCGAUGAAGUGGGCGAUCUCUAGUCCGACGCUCCCGAGCAUCUCUAUGUCGCCGUCGAUGGAGAAGCCAGCAAACGUGUAUCUGGGGUCGGCGAGGAAGUUGUCGAACCUGGUGCAGUUCUUGUCGGCGGCGCUCAGUUGGAAGAGCAACACCGGAUGAUCCUUGCCAACGGAGAGCUGGACGAGGGCUGGUUUCUGAUCUUCGCCAACGUCGUUGGUGUACUCCACAUCAACUCCGACGAUCUUGUGGCACUCGAAUUCGAGGUGUCGCUCGUACUGCUCGAUGGUGGUUGCCGCCUUGUGCAAGUCAUUGGUGUGGAUCACGUGCAACUUGGUGUUGCCGUGGGCCUGCACCUCCAUGAAUUCCUUGAUGAAUCCCAUGGCCUGGAGCAGCUGGUCCUCCUGGAACCUGGUUUUUCUUGGGGCACAAUGAGUGGGAGCGCAAUGGCGAUUUCAGUUGUUUGUGUGUAAGAAGGCCAAGGCAGAACUCUAAAUUUAAGGGCGGGGAAGUGGCAAAGGAGUGCACGAUCUCACUGUCGAUGCGGUUGAGCACAUCGUGGGUUCUGGAUCGUGGUUUCAUCUCCCUGGUGGUGCGGUUGUGCACAUCCUGGGUUUUUGAUCGUGGUUUUUCUUUAUAAAAAAUAAAAAUAAAAUCAGUAGUUAUGUUUUUAGCAACCGUCGUAUCUCCAGCAAGUCGAGGAGAUGAUCGUUGUCUUGCGUAGUUUGUGUCAAAUGUUAACUUUUACAAUUUAUCUCGUGAGGCAUGCAGGGGCAGUAUGUAGAGGCACAAGUCUCUGACCAAGAGAAGCAUGCUUGAAGUGGCUGGUUUAACUCUCAGACACAUGGGCGUGGUACAUUCAUUGGGAGUGGCAAUUGUUUUCAGUGAUACAUUCGCUGGUAGGAGCAGUGCUGUGUUUUUUCAGAGGCACUGUUGCAGCUGACGCUACGAGAUGGACAGAAAGAACGAGAAGCAACGACAGACGUGGAUAUGCAGCUGCAAGAAGCACUUAUACAACAAGAGGCGCAAGUAGAGGAAUAGAUACGAUGCUACGUCAGGCACGGAAAUGAAGUUACGUGAUUCACGGACGUCAAUUCGUGCUAUGGUGCUAUGUGAGGCACGAGCACGAACAAAUAGCCGUGCACUCAACUACAUGCGCAAAAAGCCACAGAUGUGUUCCUAAGAAGCACCGGCCUCCAUGGUUUUGCCGCAAGGUGAGAUUCGACAUUUAUCCAGGGCAUUCCGGGUUUUACAAGUGUAGGAAUAAUCAUUUUACACUUAUAUGUUCUAUGGCAGAGGCACGGCAAUUACUUUUGUGACGAAGGAAUGAACGUCGAAUGUACGUGACGUGAGUAUUGACAAUAGGCGUCCGUUACUGUUUUUCCGGAAUGUUUUUCAAUUAACUUUGAGAGGCAUGAAUGUGACGACGGGACAGGCACGGUCAUGUCUGAAAUAGUGGCAAGGUGGUCCCUAGCGUGUCCUGAAUGUAUCAACUGUAACGCUGCACUGUUACAAGCACGGUCGUUAUUCUUGUCGAGGCACGGUCUUGAGAGUCGUGAAUGUGCCGACUCAACAGGCACGGUCAUGUCUGAAAUAGUUGCAAGUACGAGAUGGGCAGAAACAACGAGAAGAAACGAGGGGCGUGGGCAUGCAGCUGCGAAACACACUUAUAUAGCGAGUAGCACAACUAGAGGCACAUGUACGAUGCUACGUGAGGCACGGAUAUGAACCUAUGUGAAGGCAUGGAUGUUUAAGGUGACUGAGCCAUAGGGGAAGGCGCUAGGUUUUCAGGAGAAGUGCUGUGUGGUUGACAGAGGUGUAUACUUGAGCUCAUCGCAACAAACUACUUGGCAUGACGCUAUUCUGCGGAGCACCAUAGUGAAAAAUAUGUAUACUACUGACGUGCGGAGCUAGCAAUGUCACUAAACUAUUCUGAAACAUACUUCACCACAGCCAUUCAUCCUCCAUUAUUAUUCAGCGAAUCCUUUUAUUAUUAUCAGAGAUAAAUAAACUAACCCACGUAAGUGUUUCACCUUCUUUGACAGGGAAUUUUCACCACCGUCCUCUUGGACAUAAUUAUAUGCUCAGUUACAUACCAUCACAUAACUAAAUAACAAAACUGAUGUGUACAGGCUGUUCAAAAAACAGACAUAAUUUACUGAACUAGGAAGUAUAGCCACCGGCAACGCUCUAUCAGGAAAGGUCGUUGAUUAUCAUCCGCAGCAGCUUCAUGUUUCCCAAUGUUGGCCACCGCUUUUCAAUUGUGACAAGGACAACUGAACCAACCCUUAACUGAGCUUCCCGGGCAAAAUCUGAAAAACCGGUCACCUCCAUUCUGCCGUCGGUUCGUAUGGAGUACGUUGUGCUCAUGUCUAUUGCAUCAUACAUCUCUGUUAGGCUGAUACCACCAUUUUGAGGUCGAUAUCCCAGGUUCAUCUUUAGAAGCCUCACAACGGCAGACGGGAUUCUCUGCAGAUUGUACCAAUAUUACUAGAUAAAAUCAAUGUACAAGGACAUAAAACAUCGAAAAUAGCAAACAAAACCAUGGCAGUGGGUCAAACAAAUAUUCAAUGACUAACCAAACGACCAUUUAUGACAUUGGUGACAUUUAGACGCUGCACAAUGGGUAUGGUGGGGAAGUCGUCAGACUCAAACACAUAGUAUAUCAUCUGUCCAAAUUGUCUAUAUGAGAGGUUUACGCCUCGACCGAACACUGUUUUCCCAAUGUACUCCCUCUCCGAGUCAUUUAGAAAAUCAAGAGCUGCAUUGAAAAAAAAAACUCAUUUUCAAACAAAUUUGUUUAAACAGAUGAACUUGGUAUUUAAGUUUAAAAUGAAUGGUUAAAUUCAAUGCAUGUGAUCAAGUUGGGAUGAUAAUCAACAUAAUUGCAUAAAAUGUUUUCAAAAUAACUUUGACUGUAAGUAUGUCAUUAAUUUAGUGGACAGGGGUAGGAGUACCAAAGUAUGCUGAUAAACGUAGUUGAUAAAACAGGAUGGAAGUUGGUGCACUUACCUAGUGAUGGUUUGGGGAGGGGCCUGUGACCUCCUCGAAAAUCACUGAGUCUCAGAUCUAUCUCAUUGGAUAGACUCCUAGUAUCUAGGUUUAUGAUGAUUAGAUCUCGAUAAUGAAGAUCGUAGUCACUAAUUAACUUUUCCCAGCCAGGUCCAUGAAUUUUAGACCGGUUAGGUUCAUCGGUGAUGUAGAUCUCAUAUGACAGAUCCUCGUUGGUGAUCAGUACUGGAUUUCUUUGUUUUCCUUCUUCUUGAAAUGCUUCCUCUUUCCACCGAUAGAUUGAAGAAGUGACUUGCUGCCUGCAGUAGCAUGGCACAUAUUGCGCAAGAAAAAAAAAUCUUACCAGGCAUGUAUAACGAAGACAGAUAGCGCUUGUCAUAUAUGUACCAAUUGUUUUCAACAGGUUGCUAUUUGAUAAAACAAGGUACAUCAAAAAUUGAAAACAUAUCAUUAAAUGCUUAAAUGUAGGCAUUCCAUUCAAACAAUAUGGUAGAAACUUUUAUUUCCUUCAUCAGAAAGAUACACUAGUUGGUAGUAACUGAUGGGCAGCAUGGGGUGGCAAACAUUUCUCCUUACCAGGCAUGUCUUGAAGCAUCGAGGAAGAUGCACUAUUAUCGCCCUGCGAAGAACGCCUAACUCCAGUCCGGAGCAACCGAAGUUGGACAUACAUCACAACACAUGGUUUCCCCUAGAAUACGUUGCAAAACAACGUUUAUAUGAAAUUCUCAACACAAGGAAAAUUUUAUUAUCUUGAAAAACUAUUCGGCUAAACCGGCAUUUUUACAUAAAUAGUCAUUCACAAGCAAUUUCCUAAAAAGACAUGUGCACAACUUUUGAUUAGAAGGUGAACAGUAGAUAUGGGAUAUGUAAUAACAGAGGAAAUAUGAAUUUAAUUAAAUCAGCAUUUUAUUUUCCAAAAAUGGUUGCUUAAUUCAUCACAAUUCAGUAUUGACUAUUUUUAGAGCAGUUCACAAUCUUGGUUGUCAAUGUCAAUCAGUGAAAGGAUUUCUGCUGCUUGGUUUUAAAAGCAGCUUUAGCAAAUGUAUAUUUCAAGACAAGACAGGCAAAAAGGAGAAACAAUAGUCUAUCAUCAGGCGGCUCAAAGGAGUGUUUAUAACAUUAAAAUUAUAUGUAAAUUCGUCGGAGCUGCACCCAGCAACAACGUCAUCCACGACCAUACGCUACCGUCGCCGACGCCAACCACCGGAACAUGUGUGGCUAGGUGGUAUUUGAAACGGGUGAUCCAUCAACGUUAACCUUGCCUCCAGCGUACAGGACCCCAAACGCUAUCUUCAAGCACAGAUGCCGACUGCCAGUCAACAGCACCCCAAACGCAGACCUCCAGCACCCUGUGGCCGGUUAUGCAAUAGACCUCAACGUCUGGCCACUCGCUUGGACUUCCGGCCACCGCCAUUGUUUGCAAGACCUAACGGGAUUCAAUUUAAACUACCAACCUCCCUCGGCCAAGUUCAUCGCUCACAUAGGACUUGGACGCCGCAGGUCGCUGCAGCUCAUAGCGUUCUCAAGAACAAACGCCGACUUCCAAUCAACCCCACCCCUAAGAGGCACGGGUCGUGUACAGGUUCGGCCUCGUACUGCGUUGAUUUGGUCUAGAUCACAACGAAUUUCCAGGCAAUUCCUAGCAUAACAGCGCAGAUGCGUCGCUUUCAAUCACGGAGAGACGAAACCAACAGAGAGCAAAACAGAUCGUAGCGAAAAAUUCACAUAGAAAUUAAGAGAAAAUAUACUAACCCUGGAUCUAGAGGGAGAAUCGAGAGAGAAGAGACGAUGAACUCUACAGCGGGUGAGUGGGAGGGGGCGAUCUGGGUUGGCACAAAACAGAACAGUUAUAAUACGCGCCUGCUCACUGACAUGGGGCUACUGUACAGUGGCAAAGACAAGACUAUUGGCUUAUUAGGAGCAUAGAGGCACGCACUGACGACCCCAACACGCACGGACUUACAUGCAAAUAAGGCACGGCUUUGUUUGUGUUUUGCAAAUUUUCUCAGUGAGGCGUUCACUGAGACAGGUUGUGCACAUCCAUGACGCACGACCAUGCUUCUAUUUUCCAAAGUAUUUUUCCCUAGCACGGUCUCUCGGAGGGACAGGGACGUGAAGCCACGGUGCGCAUCGUCCUGUAAGGAUAAGAAUGAGACGCACAGAAAGGCCUCUGUAUUCUAAAUGUUCUCAGUGACGUGUUCAUUGACAGACGCAUGGUCUUUAAGCAGUUGGCACACGGUUGUACAUGCGGACGAUGCACAGACGUCUUUUGUGUUCUCCUAGUUGUUUUCGCAUGACACGGCCACUCCUAGUUGUGUUCUCCUAGUUGUUUUCGCAUGACACGGCCACUCCGAGGGACAGUGGAGUGAAGCCACGGUGCGCACGGUUAUGCAAGGAGAAAAUGCAGUGAAGUGCCUCAGUUUUUGUAACAUUUUAAGUUGCUUGUUCACUGAGAGAGGCACGGGUGUAUGUUUAAAUGACGCAAGACCGUGCUACUGUUUUCUGAAUUGUUCAUUUCUGACACGGUCUCUCGGAGGGACACGGUGUCUGCAAUUAAAAGGGGCACGUAGUCUUUCGCUUUGACGAAUUCUUCGGAUGCAUGAGUUUUAUUCAAUAUGACAAUGAGAAUGGAAACCCAGCAUCUAAAAAGUGAUUGGAGGUUCGUUGCUGACCUUAAGUCAUUAUCACAGCAUUCCAAAUGUUUUCAGAGACGUGUUCACACGGACGUAUGAUUUUCACAACCUCUUGAUGCACGUUCGUUUCCUGUGGGGUGCACGGACGUCCUUCGGAGAGGCGCGGUUGCAGCAGUUGCAGGUUUGCAGUGGACACAUGUUGCUUUUAAAAGACAGAAUUUCAUGCCAAGCAACUGAGACAAACAAGAGGAUACUAGUUUGAUUUUUGAGCAUCUGUGUGAGCUGAUUUCUUUUAUCAUUGGGUCCAGAAACAUAUGAUCGAUAUUGAAAACAGAAAGCAUGUACAUAAUUGCUUGACCAUGUUUACACAAUGCACUCAUUCAAUAUAGCAAGUACAUCUCUCCAGACCUGUUUUCAACAUCUACAGUUGAAUGGAUCUAGCAAAUCCAGAUAUUCAACACUUGUGUUUUUUAAGUCCAUGUGCAUAUGCUCGCAAGUUGUUGUUAAUUUAAGCUCUGCGCAAUUAGAAGCCCUUUUGUCCAUCUGCAGUACCUCUUCUUGCCCUUUGUAAAAUUCAUGAGUGAAAUCUCUGCGCAUGCCAAACUUAAGCCUGAUGGUCAGUAGCAUCCUAGCAUUGAGAAUAAAGAAUGUCACAAAUUCAGUGUUUGCAUCUGUGACUUCAUAGUCUUCCAGCGUUAAUGUCCUCAAACAAAUGUCGUGAUUAUUGAGAAACACCCGCUGCUUUUGGCGCCAUUCAUUUGUUAUACCUCUUUGAUCCCAUCCUCCCCCCCUAAACACACGAGAAGAGCAAACUUAAGAGUUAGUGCCAGUAUAUUAUGCAUAUUAUGCGUGGGCUUUCAACGUGUGUGAAAUCAUCACCUCGAUAAACAAGUUUUGCAAGCAUUGAAAGCAUCGCAGCAAGUCAACAAUCUCAUCCAGAUUAAAGCAUGUCUGUGAGAUAAACAAGGUCUUGACGGAAUCCAGCACCGCGUGUAGGCUACUUAUGCAGAGACCCUUCAUUGAGCACAUAACGUGAUAUUAUUAGCUCGUGGAUGUGAAUCUCAAGUGCUUUUGAAUAACGCAGGUCAAAGUAACGUGCAGAGGCAGUACCUGAAUAACUGUAGUCCCAAUGAUGAUAUUUGUUUCAUUGGGUAAUUCAGAAAUUUUUCUUCGUGUGUCCAACACAGGUGCGGACAAAACUUUUAUCUGUAGUUGUGCAUCUACAGAAUCAUGUAGCAGUCUCCGGAGGGAAGGCGCAUCCUCAAUGAUCAGUUUUCCUCCGUCAGAACGAAUGCCAAUGCUUACAAGCCUAGCUGAGUUUAUUCAUAGACAACAGAAUUUCUUGUUGCAAACAAGCAGUAGGCACUGCAGGGCAGGGCAACCAUGGUGGAUGAACUUCCGCAAGGAGACAUCCGAUAUAUAAACCUCCACCAGCAAAAGUCUCCUGAGUAGUGGGAGGCAAAGCAUUUCUACAAGAUUGUCUUCUAGUUUGCACAUGGCGAAGGUGAUGGUGUGGAGAGACGAGCGAAAUCUCGAGAUGGAUGCUGGUGGCGACGGCAUAGAAGAAGGGAUUCUGCGUGCUUGCCUGGGCCCUGGGUAGAAGAACUUUGGGAAUAUAUGAUAGAACUCUAAAACCUGGAGUUGGUACAGAUUCCGAGACAGGAACAACUCAUCGACGCCACAAGGUUUGCACUGGAGGUAGCUUGUCGGGAUGCAGAAGCGGCGAAUCGGGCCCUUGUGAUCGGAGAGGAUAGAUACAGGAAGACUGAAGCCAUCAGCGACAGAUUCUCCGCGGCAGUUGCAACUAAGAUGUCGGCAGUGAGUUCAGACGUAUGUUUCCUAGACGAUUUGCUUGCCUGGGAGAACGCGGAUGAUUUGGCAACAGAUUUUUUCCAGAGAUCUGGUAGAACGAGUAUCAAGGAUCACACGAAACUCAAGAUCGAGUGGUGCGGUGCGCCAUAUGCGGCGCCACCGAGAUGCGAGCACUUGUGCGCGCAUGCCUUCCUUUAUGGGAAGACGAGAGAUGAUCUCGCCGAGGAUGGUGUCGGGAAGAUCGCUGAUGCGGUCCGGACCAGACUCAACAUGGUUCUCGGAUCCAGUGGGCGAGCCACAACCGCUCCUCUUAACGAGCUUAGAGGGCACGGGCACAGCCCCGAACCUCGUCUUCUUGUUUUGCUAGAGGCACACUUCUUCUUCUCCAUUGCCAAGCUCGUGCCGGCUCCGUUGCAGGUCUCUGUGCGGUGGAUCUGGGAAAAGGGUUAGGGUUUUACGAUCCAUAAAGACGACAAUAUAUAUAUGUACCUAAUCUAGAAGAUUUCGACAGACGUGGUGGAAUAGUCACGGCGUGGACAGUCGUGCGUCUUCACGAGGCACGGGUAUCAACUGUCCAGAUACACAGAAGUUUGUUGGGAGAGGCAUGUGUCUAAAUACUCAGUUAGAGAUGCACGGUUGCGCGGUCUGUAGAGACACGGGGGUGUGGCGCCACGACACGGGGGCAAAUGUCAUGUGAGGCACGUGCGUGCAGGCGGUGGAGGCAUCUAAUUGCAGUCUGUACAAGCACGGACCUCGUUGAAGCCUCCACAGAGCCAGCUAUCAACUCCCUGGAUGCACAAAAGUGUGGUGGCAGAGGCAUGCCUGCGAACACUCAGGUGAAAAGACACGUUUGUGAAGUCUCUGGAUCCACGACAGUGUGUCUCCAACGGAACGUAAAAGCCACGGCUCAUGGCACGUGAGGCACAAGGGUGCAGGCUCCGGAGGCACUGAAGUCUAGCCUCUAUAGGCACGUACGAUUGUCAACCCUCUGAAUGCACAAAAUUUUGGUGGCAGAGGCAUGGAUCAGAAUACUCAGCUAUGGAGGCACGGGUGUGUAUUCUCUACAAUCACAAGGGUCACGGCAAGUGUCAUGUGAGGCACGUGUAUUGAAACACCAGAGGUGCGGAAAUGAAGCCUCUUAGGCACGAGUGUCAACCCAAUGGAUGCACAAAAGUGUGGUGGCAGAGGCAUGGGUAAGAAUGCUCUGCUGCAGAGGCACCGUUGUGAGCUCUCUGGACCCGUGGGCGUCUGGCUCCACGGGCACCUAACAGUCACGACUUAUGUCAGCUAUGGAGGCACGUAGAUGCACGCGCCGGAGGCACUGUUGGGGAGUCACUACACGCACGGGCGUGGCAUUUCUCCAUGCCUGACUCAGCAUAAACCCUCUCUGGGUGCAGAAAAGUGUGAGCAGAAGGCGCCGAAGUAAGGGCUCUACAUGCACGUGUACCAACCUUCUUGAUACUCAGUUAGAAAAGUACGGUUGUGAAGUUUCUAGACAAAGUCUGACCUUAAGACGAAGAACAGCCGUCAUGUCACGAGACAUAUGGUUUUAUUGGCCUACCAAUCACGGACUUGCUUCGGUAUUGGAAAGGUUCCCACUGACGAUUUCAUUAUCAGUGGGAACAUGGUACUAUACUAACAAAGAGUCAGUGUCGUGACGGUAAAAUACUCAGAAUCUUUCCGCUGAAACAUUGACGUUUGCACAGUUACAACACUUUCGUUUGCACAGUUACAACACUUUCGUUUGCACAGUUACAACACUUUCUAAUCAAGGAUUGUUAUGGCAAGCUUACAGACGGUACAAAAUAUUACAAGGCUUGUCUGUUCAUGUUCAGACGAAACGCACGUUCAAAAGGGCGCAACAACAUGUAACCCUGCAAGCUUGGACAACUUACUCCAGCUCUGUGUUCAGCAGUCACAUCUGAAUGGGUCCGUCAAAUCCAGGUAUUCAACACGCGUGAGUUUUAAUAAAAGAAUCGGUGCUUGCACGCUCCUGAUAAUAUAAGGCGAGCACGUUCAGAAGCCUUUUUGCGCCAUAGAAGAUCCUUUUGAUGCUUUUCGUAAAAUUCUUCCGUGAAGUCUUGGUGGUAGCGAUAGUUAAGCCUCAUGGUCUCAAGCUUGCUUGCACUCAGAACAAAGAAUCUCACAAAUUCAAUGUUUACCAAGCAGGGUUCAUAGUCAUCCAACAUUACUGUCUUCAGACGGAAGUCGUGUCGUUUGACAAACGGUCGGUGCUUACGACGCCAUGUAUUUGUUUCUCCGCAACAGAGUCCUCCCUAGAUGUACAUGAAGAAUGAAAAUACUUAAGCUCUAAAAACAGAGAUUCUGUCGAAAGAGCAUCCAAUGUAAGGUAUUUAUUGGAUUUUUUGUAGAUACAGGUGUAUGUAAUACUAAAACAUGUCUAGCCACGGGUGUAUCAAUUUACAGACGAAUGUAAGACAAGCCUUUUAAGACAUACAGUCGAAGUAGUACAGUAUGCAUGUUAUGGGCUUUCAAUGUGUGUGAGAAUCAUCACCUCGAUAAAAAAGUUCUCAAGGCUUCGAAAGCAUUGCAUUAGGGAAACGGCCACAUCCACUUCAAAACACAUCUUGAUGAGCAAAGUCUUGACCGCUUGAAGCACUGUUGACAGGCUGACUGCCGGCAAACCCUGCAUGGUGCAUGCACAACGAUUUUAAAAAUCGAACAAAAGGUUCUAUUACAUGAAAUUUGUUUACUCGGACAAAUGCAGCUGAAAAUUAGGUACCUGGAUAACUGUAGGGUUACGCGUGACCUUGGAUCCAGAGAAAAAAUCAUGGAAUUUGCUCACAGUCUCUAGUUUAGGUGCAGACAUGACAGUUAUCUGCAAGUUGCUGCUGAGAAUAUCGUUAAGCAACCGCUGAAGUGACGAGGCAUCCUCUAUAACAAGUUCGCCAUGUCCACAGCGAAUUCCAAUGCUUACAAGGUUACGUGAGUUUAUUCUUAUGCAGCGGCUUUCCAUAUUCCAAGUAAGCAGUAGGCACCGAAGUGUGGGGCAACUAGAGUGGAUGAUGCUUUCAAGCGAGAUGUCUCAUAUACCAACGUCCACAAGUGAAAGUCUCUUGAUCAGUGGUAGUUUAAGAGCCUGAACGUAACUGUUUGGUAUUUGGCAAAGAGCAAAGGUGGCGGUAUGUAGGGAGGAUGCAAACGGAGAGAAGGACGCCAGUGCAAAAGGCGCAGAUGAUGGGUGUGUGAGUGGUCGUACGACACACUCUCUCACGAAAUCUGGGAACAUGUAAUAGAACUCGAGCACCUGGAGAUUGUUUAGUUUCGAUGAUUUCAACCAGGCGUCGACGGCGGAGGGUCUGGACUAGAGGUAGCAUGCCAGUAUGCAGAGACGACGAACUGCGCCCACAUGGGCAGAGAGGAUGGCUUCUGGAAGGGUCGUAUCAUCAGUGCCAGAUUUGCGAGGGCACCGAGUUCCGAAGUGCCUUUCGCGGGCGAGCUCCCAGGUAGGAGGCGCCAUGGAGAUUUUCUCGAUAUGAACUGUUUCUAGAGGCUUAAAAAGACAAUCGGCAGGGAUCUCAAGGCAGUCAAGAUUCAGAGGAGCGGUGGGCCAUAAAGGACGCCAUCGACGAGUGAGGAUGCGAGUACGGAUGCUAUCCCUGAUGGGGAGACGAGAGAUGAUCUCACCUAGGAUGACGUCCGGGAGAUCGCUGAUGCGGUCCGGACGAGUUUUUUCCCCGUGCUCCUCAGAUCCGGUGGGCGGACCCUCACCGGUCCCCGCCGGUACCGCCAAACACCCAGAGGAAUGCGUCGUCGGUGGCAUGAGCCUUGCCCUCUUGGUACUAGAAGCGUCGGCCUCCAUCUAGGAGCGACGGGUGCGGUGGAUCUGGAAAGACGGUUUGGAGGACGGAGGUGUUGCAAAACACCAUUUAUAAAAAAAGUAGUAUUUUUUAAGUGAUGUCAUUGCGAGAACAGUGACAUCGGACAGUGGCAACAACUCGUACUCCAUGCCUCCAAUUGAUUCACGCACAUGCCUCUCCGAGCAGCGUGUCACUACAAACAUACUGAACACGGACGCACGAUCGCAACUCUUCUUUUUGACAUGGGACGCACGACUGCAAGUCUUCUUCCUAAUAUGGGACCGUGCCUCCGCUUGCUCGACCAACGUGCCUAUCUGAGUACACGACUCAGAUGAAAUAAUGACAACUGGGAGGCACGACCGUCCCCUCUUAUAAUAUAUGACCGUGCCUUCACUAACUUCACGGUUGUGCCUCUCUUACUGCACAAAGUCAGCUAAGCUAAUCAUAGCACAGAGGCAUGACCAUGAGUCUUCUUAACAGAAGACUGAACCUGCACUAGGUUCAAGUGCCUCUCUGAGCAAACAUGCCGAACCGAGAGACACAACCACAACAACAACAACAGCGACGACAGCCACGUUUAGGAUCGCAUCUGCUUUCAGUACCAUAUUCUGAAUAAGAAUUUGAACUGAUAAGUUCUAUUAGGUAUGUACUAUGAGGAUUUGAACUGCAUUCAUAGUUUGAAAUAACACACGUACAAUACUUAACUUAAUACCAUAGUAGUUAAAAUUUAUGUGGUGUAAUGCCAUCCCUCCAUCACCGUACACAUAUCGCAUCAUUCCAUUUUUUUGUAAAGACCGGUGAUCACAAGUGAGAGCGAGUCCUGCACGUGCAUAGUGUGCCACUGGAUACUGAUGAGUACAACGCAAUCAACUGUCAGCCUAGCUGCAUCUGCAAAAGCAGAAAUCCCAGUGAUCGCCAUCCUUUCAUCUUUGUGUAUACAGUAGGUGCCAGGCAAAUCAACGCUGCUGAAAAUUUGUACAAGCCUGAUGCUACCCAUGAGAGGCAAAUAUCCAAGCUUCAUCCUAAGAUCAUUGGUAACAAUAGCUGGGAUUUUCUGUACAAUAACAAAUUAUUCUGGCAUUAGAUUACGAAGACACGCAUGUUGACUGUGGUUUAGAGAAAGAAACAACGACGUACCAAACGGUCUGUGUGAACGUUGGUGAAAUAUAGACGGUGCACAAAGGUAAUGGCAGGGAUGUGUUUAGCAUUUAGGACUAGUUUAAUCAUGCAAGCCAUGUCGAUAUAGGAAAGUUUUAUGCCCCGGGUGUAGACUGUCUCGUCUAUGUAGCUCCUUUCCGAUAAACUGAGGCCUUCAAGGGCUAAAUAAAUACAACCAUGUAUUAGCCACUAUGUGUGAAGCAAUGAAUAGAGCAGUUAAAACUAAAAUAAACGAAUAUUGGCUUUUAAAAGGUAAAUUACAGUUUUAAACUACAUUGUGAGUACAAAGAAAGAUUUAAUACAUUAUAUCACAGAGAUUAAGCACAUAAAUAUCAACGACAUACCACAGUAAAAUUAUAAUAGAUAAAUGUUAAACCAGAACAAAUAUUGAUAAGCGAUCAGAACAUACCAACGGAAGGUUUGGGAAACGCUUUGUGACCUCCACGAGACUCACUCAACAUCAAGUCAAUGGGAAAGAAGAAAUCUUCUGCUUGCAAAUCCAAUUGUAUAAUAUCACCAUAAAACAGAUCAUAGUCACGUAUCAACUUUUCCCAUCCAGGUCCCUGAAACUUAGACCUGUGGUUGUCAUCUGUAAACUUAAUCCUGUAAGAAAAUUCCUCAGUAGUGCCGAACACAAGGUCAAAAUCUUCGUCUUCAAAACCAUCCUCGAAAGCUUCAUCUUUCUAUAAAGAGAUCAAAGAAAGGACCUGGUUCCGGUAGUAGCAUGGGACAUACUGCAUAAAAGUAAAAUUAAGACAAAGGUAUAUAAAUGUUUUACUGAUUUUUAGGAAAAAAAAUGCAUGCAAGAGUUUUUUUUCCUUGAAAUUUCUUGGCUUUCAGGCACGGGCACAGGCAACAUCUAUGACAUUUAAUUAAACCUAUACAAAACAAUUGAACUUCUAAUUACAUCAAGGCCUAUAAAAUAAAAACAAGCAUGCGCAGUAUAGUUUGCUCCGAAGGAAUACGUGUGGUUGCUGACUGCUGAAUAAAGAUAACUGUAACAAAUACAGUGACGAAGGUUUUUUAUUGGCCAUGCGUGAUUUGGUAGCAAAACUUACCAGGCAUGACUCAUAACAAUGAGGCAAAGACACAAUCAAGAAAGAUUGGGCAACAUCAGAUUCAACACCGGGCCAGUUGAGGUUCCUACAAACAUCACACGCCAUCUUUGUCUGCGAGAUGUAACAAUAUAUAAGACUCGGGUUCAUUAAUUAUUAAAAACAAAUUUAUUUCAACACUCCGCUAAUGGUACAAAGAAUUAAAGGACUGUAUAUCACUGAUACAUGCUUGUUUCAACGAGUAAGACAGUGCGGAGCGAAUGAUGAUAUGGUGAUAUCCAUUGAUGUUAGUGUCUCUCUAAAAAAUGAAAGAACACGCACAGACCUCUUCAAAUCUACAAGCUCUUGCAGCGAACUAGCUGAAAAAAAUCAACUGUUGUCCUCCAAGAUUAUUCCCCUAUAGAACCCCUUCAAAGGGGUAGGAUAUUAACACAAAAAUUAAAAUGAAGAGGGUAACAUACAACAAGAAUCCAUCUGAAAAAACACAGUGCACAACGCAUAAGUAUUAAGUAGAGAGGAAUUUUUUUACUGUAUUUCAGAGCAAGUGGGCGAAUCGUAGAUCCAUCUAUGUGGACUGUAGAGUGAGCAAGACGAAGCAAGAAAUACGGAAGGAACCAGAGAAGGGGAGCGGAAGAGCAAGUGACUCGGGUGGGAAGACGCACAAAACGAUGUAUUUAUGGAGUAAUUACGGAGAGGGAAGAAAUUUUGUGUACUCGCUCGCCAAAGCUGAAACUACUGACAAUAGUAAAUGGCUCCUUGCCAUCCCAGCGCAAAAAAGGGGCGUGUGAGGGGGUGGGGGUUGGUGGGUCUGGCGAGUAGGUGGAGUAUUUGGUCGAGCCGGACCAUGUCGAAGUCCCUCGCUUUCAUUUCCCCUCUCACUCUCUCACUAUAUCUCUUCCCCUCUCUCUCUCUNNNNNNNNNNNNNNNNNNNNNNNNNNNNNNNNNNNNNNNNNNNNNNNNNNNNNNNNNNNNNNNNNNNNNNNNNNNNNNNNNNNNNNNNNNNNNNNNNNNNNNNNNNNNNNNNNNNNNNNNNNNNNNNNNNNNNNNNNNNNNNNNNNNNNNNNNNNNNNNNNNNNNNNNNNNNNNNNNNNNNNNNNNNNNNNNNNNNNNNNNNNNNNNNNNNNNNNNNNNNNNNNNNNNNNNNNNNNNCGGCAUCGCAUCUGCUCACAUCCUCCGGGCCAUGUCAACACAAAAGUUCGGACAAGAGGGGAGGAAGGAAGGCUUGAACUUCCUUGAACUGGAUUUUGAUUUCUAUGUAGGUGAUUUCCUGCUACAUGCGGAGCGUUGAACUUGGGUUUGUUUUCCAAACAAAAGAUCUGAGCUCUAAACAUUCAUGUGUCCUUGUAGGAGAACCCUGACACCAUCGAAGACCAUGAUUUCUAUGGCAAAGAGCUCGACCGUCCUCUCUACUGUGUCCUCCACGAUACCAAGCCUCUCAGGUGUGUGGCUUUUGAAGGAAGUGACACGGGGAGGAGGUUCUAUGGCUGUGCUGUGAAAGUUAGUCACUUUCGAAAAUCUGAGUAACUUUCUUAUUGAAUCAAACUGUUUGGAUAUAGGACUUGUAGUCUACAAAAUAGGACUCAUUUCUUCUUGUGUUUUCCGGUUGAUUGUAGGAAACAUUGUGUAGUCCUUUUACUUUACAUAAAAGGGUAAAGGUCACUACUUAUUUUACAUCAUCGAACACAAAAGAAGUGAUCUAGACACUCUCAUGUUUGUUUACAAAUGGGACUUCUGUUUAAGAGUCAGUAUAUUCUUAAAAAAACUCUCUAAAUAAGUUGUCUGCAGAGGUAGCUCCAGAUUAAUUCAAGCUGGCUUAAAAGAAACUAAGUACAAUUAUGAAAUAACUCCGCUGACAGGGUGGGCGAAGCACCAUAAUUAGUGUUGUGGGUACCUAACCAUUGAAGUGCCACAUUGCACAAACAUGGUUCAUAAUUAGUUGAAUGAGGUUAUAAACCAAGUAUAUGUGAACUUUAUUAUAUUCCAGAGCUUCUGCAGCAGUGUAUUAAUAGUCCCUGUUUAUUUUGUUCCUUUUUUGUUCGCAGAGAGGCGUGAACUGUGGAGUCGUCGAAUGGGUUGACCGCCCAUGGCCUAUCAUUAUGCAGAGGUGCCUACUCAAGCUCUGGGGAAUGUUAGAUGAGAGCAAUGAUGAUAGGCAAGCAAAGGAUGAAGAGAUAAGCAGGCUUAAAAUGGAUAAUGAACAAGUGAGCCUUAAGCUCGAGAAUCUUGUUGCAACUGUGGAAAGAACUAAUGUAACUACCAUGAAGAUUGACAGGCAGAAGAAGCACAUCGGUAUCGUUGAUAAAGAUGUCAAGCUCAUUCAGAGGUCUCUCACAAGUGCCAUUCAUAAUCUUAAGGACGACAAGGGUGAGAUUAAGAUGGACAGGGAUUUUCUGAAGGAGGAGGUGCAUAAGCUGAAGGAGAAUAGAAAGAAGAUGCAAAGCGUCAUCUGUGAUCUUUUGGGGCAAGGGUUUGUGAACACUGAUGACCUCCUGAUGAUCAAGGCAAUCCUCGAAGAAUGAUCAUUAACAUGAUCAAGGCAAUCCUCAAAGAAUGAUCAUUAACAGUUGCCUUCUUUUGAAACGUUGCAAGGGAUACUCGUCUAGUAUAAGUUUAUGCUUGGACAUGGUUACUUGACUAAAGGCAUGUAUCUCAUUUUUUCCAAUCUUUCAGAGGGUGUGUGACGGUCUACACACAUCAAAUAUUGAUCUCCUGAAUAUUUUUAUAUUUCAAAGAAACGUGCUGCUAGCGAGGCGCAUCCGGCAAUCUUUCGUCUUGGAUCAUUCCACGAGACAUGCGUUACUGUAAUCUAGCAAGGCACAGAUGUCGCUUUGGCAGGCAUGGGGAACCAUGACUUCGGUGACGUGGCACUGAUUUGUCAAAGGCACGGUCCUAUGUCAGACAGGAGCACCGCACUAGCCCUGACACACAUAAAAUCUACAAUCUACAGAGUCACGCUUACUCCUGAAGCCGACGCACGCCAGUGCCGACUCGAUUGUUUGUACUCAAGACAUAAACUCGUUCAUGGACAUGCGUUUACACGAAAGGCACGUACAGUCUGAGGUUGCUGGGAGCACGGUUUUAGAUUAAGCAGAGCCACGGCCAUGUGCACGUGCAGUCUGCCACGAAAGGAGGCAGUGCCGUCUGCUCACUGCAGACGCACUGGUUUACAUGCACUAGAUGCACGUUCCUUGAAGAACAGGCAAGGCAGUGCCUCUUCUCUUCCAAAUGUUUUUGUUCCCUGGUCGACGACCGCACACGAAUGUUUUUGUAGCAUCACGAUAGUGACAUAAAACUAUCAAAUUUUCAGAACAGCGGGUGCAUAGCACAAAAGCAUUGUUAUAACAAGCUUACAAAACGGUGCAAAAGGCUUCAGCCAUGCUUAGACAUAACACAGAAUCAGAUUGGCGCAACAACAUCUAACUGUACUAGCUUGAGGAACUAACUACAGCCCUGUGUCCAGCAGGCACAAGUGAACGGAUCUGACAAAUCCAGGCAUUCAACACGCCUGUGUUUCAAAUCCAAGCACAGAUGAUUGCAGCAUGCUGAUAACUUGAGAUUGGCGCGUUUGGAAAAUUUAUUCUCCCACAGGAACAACUUCUGUUGCUGUUCGUAAAAUUCUUGCGUGAAGUCUGAGGGAAAGCGAAACUUAAUCCUCAUGGUAUCUAGCUCCGUUGCAUUCAGAAUAAAGAACCUCACAAACUCAGUGUUCUUCCCGCUUUUUUCAUAAUCUUCCAGCGUUACUGUCUUUAAAUGAAUGAUGUGUUCUUUGAGAAACGCACGGUGCUUGCGACGCCAAAAAUUUCUUGCACCAUCAGGAACGUUUCCUCCCUGAAAACACAUAAAGGUUGAAAGACACUCAAGAUCUAUGGAAGGACAAAAUGAACGAUAAAUUCCAUGACGCCCCGUCCCAAUCAGCGUCGAACAUUUCCCUAGAUACGGAUGUAUGUAUAAUAAUAAAAAACAUGCCUAGACAUAGGGUGUAUCCAUUGCAAACAAAAUGUAAGAUAAGCUUUUUGAGAUGCAAGGAGUGCUGCACUAUGCACGGUAUGACCUUUUCAUUGGGCGUGAGAAUCAUCACCUGAACAAACAAGUUCUCCAGAUUUGGAAGGCACUUAAGCAAGUGAAUGACCAGGUCCACUUGAUAAGUCAUGGCCAAAAACAAGGUUUUGAUAGAUUGCCGCAUUGUAGAUAGGUUUCACAUAACAUGGAAAAUAAAACAUAAAAUUAUUAGAACAAAAGGUUGCAUGACAUGAAACUACUUUCUCAAGGAAAUGCAGCUCGAAUUAUUGUGAAAUGUCAGUACCAUAAGGCCCAUGGAGUCAAGCGAGAUCCUGAAUGUGCCCAAUGUCUCCAGUUUGGGUGCAGAGACGAUGAAUACCUCCAUGUUAUUGCUCUGGAGAUCGUGGAUCAACCUUUGAAGUGAGGGGGCAUCCUCGAUGAUGAAUUUUCCUUUCUCACCACGGAUGCCGAUUCUUACAAGGUUAGGGGAAUUUAUUGUGAUCCGAUGCCUUUCUCUAUUGCAAACAAGCAGCAGGCACUCGAGUGCAGGGAAACUAGAGUUGAUCAUGCUUUGCAGCGAGAAGUCUGAUAUAUCAACCUCAACAAGCGAAACUCUCUUGACCAGUGGUAGUUCAAGUACCUAUACAUAAUGGUCUGGUAUCUGGCAACACGCGAAGCUCAUAGUGCACAGAGAACAGGAAAACCGAAAGACGGACUUCGGUAGUGAGGGCGUAGAUGAAGAGCAUGUGUGCGAUAGUUUGACAGUUUCUUUCACAAAUCAUGGAAAUAGGUAGUAAAACUCAAGCACCUGGAGAUUGUUCAAUCUGGAGGACUCAAGCCAGGUGUGGACAGUAGAGGGUCUGCAUUGGAGGUAGCACACCGGUAUAAAAAGGUAGAGAACUGCGCCCACAUGGCUGGAGAGGAUGGACUCUGGAAGGCAAGAACCAUCACCAGGAACUGUUUUUCCCUGAUGCCAAGUUCCGAUGUAUCGUAUGCGAGCAAGCUCCCCGCUGUAGGCAGAGACCCUACUGAUGAUCUCGACACGAACUGUUUCUAGGGUGUUAAAAAGACGAGCGACAGGGAUACCACGGCAGUCAAGAUUCAGAGGAGCGGUCGGCCAAGUAGGACGCCAAUGACGUGCGAGCAUCCGAGUGCAGAUGCCCUCCCUAGUGGAGAGACGGGAGAUGACCUCACCGAGGAUGGCGUCCGGGAGGUCGCUGAUGCGGUCCUCGCCGCUUCCAGCCGCUACCGCCAAACCACCAGAGGACGGCGUCACUGGUGGCGCGAGCUUCGCCCUCUUGGUGCAUGGCGCACUGGAGUGGAUCUCCAUCUCCGUCUCCGUUGCUGGGAACACGCUGCCUGCGAGCGCUGCUAUAUGUGGCGUGGAUCUGAAAAGACCAAGGAAAAGGGUGUGUCUAGGGUUUCGAGACGCCGUCCGUUCGCCUUAAAUAGCCGGAGCCUGGCCUCGGGCGACGAGCCAGAGCGGCGUAGCCGUAGGGGACGCCCGUCGGACCCUUGGGUUUCCGGAGCGGCGCCACGUGGCGUUCACACCAGAAUACAAGGAAACACCCGUCGAAACAUAACUGGGGACGGGAGGGAAGGGGAGAAGAGUGGAGGGAUCCGUUGAAAAUGAUUCCGUUGGCUGUAUCACAAGGAGAGGCACGGUAUGGCGGCCCAGACAGACAUGCUUGCGUUUUACGUGGGGUCACGUUCGUGCGUUUAUAGCGAAAACCCGCGGCAGCCGCCUCAUCCUUGAUUCAGUGUUUCGGGUCAUAGGAACGGGCAUGAAGCGCUCAAAGGCAUGGUCGGUGGUAUUACAUAGAGUCACGCUUGCCUGUGACUCUAUCAGACGAAGAUGCACGGGCGUUUAGCCCACGGAGAUGAACCUUUGUCUUACGCACAGCCACGGACGUUUACUCUGCGAGGCACGGAUUGGCCUAUAAGAGGGACACAGUUUUUAAAAGCUUAUUUCCUUGUAUUUAAGAGCACGGACGUGCAGUCCAUACAGACACGGUUCUGUACUGAAUUGUCUCACGCUUAUUUCUUGAUAAAGGCGUCGACGUUCGUGGCUGUCUGUGUUUCAGUGCCAAGGUCACAAGCACGUGCAUGCAGCCUUCAAAGGCAUGGCGUGCUAUUAUAUAGAGUCACGCACAAAGGUUUUCUGAUUGUAUUCCGAAUGAGUCGGUGGGCUCGGUCAAAAGGAGAGGCAUGGACGUCAAGCCCUCGGAGGCAUGUUUGUUCUUACUCGGAGUCACGUUUGUGCGUUUAUUACGGAAACCUAAUAGAUUCGGGCGACUGUCCUUGUUAGAAUUGUUUUUGUUGGAUGAUUUUAACUCAAAUGCAUGAAGACGACUCUCUGUGUGUCAGUGUUUCAGGUCACAGGCACGGUUGUCAAGCCCACAAAUGCAUGAAGGCGACUUUAUAUGUUUAGUAGCGUCACUGUCCUUUACGCGUUUCAGUGUUUCAGGGCACAGGCACGGUCGUCAAGCCCACAAACGCAUGUCAUGUAAUUAUCCAGAGUCACCUUCGUGUCUCUUUGUGUUCCAAAUGCAUUCGUUGACUAUAUUACCAGGACAGGCACGGUUGGGAUGUCGAGGGAGGCAUGCUUGCGUUUUACGCGGAGCCACGUUCUUGCGUUGAUUGCGGAAACACAAUGUUUCGACGGGCGUCUCCACCUACUCGGGUGUGAACUCCACGUGGCGCUGCCACGGAAACCCAAGGGUCCGACGGACGUCUCCUCCGGUGACGCCGGUCUGGCUCGUCGCCCGAGGCCAGGCUCCGGCUGUUUAUGGCGGACGGACGGAGUUUCAAAACCCUAGCCACACACUCUUCCUUCCUCUGCCCGCAGGCAGGCCAUUCAUUCCUCUUGCUGCUCUCUAUCCUGACCCUCUCCGCCAUGGCUGGUAGGGAGGAGACUACUGCGGAACCCAGUGUCCAGACACUGCAGGAGAUCCAGGCUGGCGAGGGUUCCUCAUCUGUAAGUUCACUCUACUUCCGCUUCAUUCGUUUUUUCUUUCGUUCGGCUACUUGGUUUAGUUGUGAAACGCGAAUAAGCCAGACGGAGUCUCGAAACCCUAGCCACAUCCCCUUCGUCCUUUUGUCCGCCUCUAGGCCAUCCAGUAAUCUUGCUGUUCUCUAUCCUGACACUCUCAGCCACGGCUGUGUAGAAGGAGACUCCUCCAGAGCGCCGUGUCAAGUCGCAGGAGAAGAGCUCGGCUGGCAAGGGUUCCUCAUCUGUGAGUUUGCUCUGCUUCGGCUUCAUUCAUUUUUUCUUUUUUUGGCUACUUGAUUUAGUUGUGAAACAUGGAUCAUUGUGGUGAGCUUCAUCCUAAUGUUGAUGAGGGUGCGUCCUGCCAUCAAUCUGACAUCUUCUCCUUUGACCAGCUGAAGAACCUGUUCAAUACUGGGGAAGACUUCGUGAAGAUAUCCACGAAGUUGGAUGACGAGAACAAAGCCAUAUUGCACUUCUGAUGGAUGAGAAGGCGCAGCUCGAACUUCAGCGUGAUAAGCUGAAGCUGGAAUCAUACGUUAUGAAGAAACAGAUCGAGGAACUUCGCGCCGAGCAACCAAAAAAGAAGUCUCGCCGGACUAAGUAGACAGCAGCGACCCUGAUCCUCGUAUCUGAAGCUGUUAAGGAGUGCACUAAAAGUUUCUUAUUUUGUCUUCCGUUACCUCGUGCCGUCAGUAACUUUUAUAACAAAUGUGUUUUACUUUCUUGGGUCACGUUCAUUCCAAGUUUAUGGGUACAGAUGAACAUUAACGUAAUGGCCAGUUCUAGAGACGUUGUUUUUAAAAGCACAGACGUGAAGUCUCUGCAGCCAAAGUUUUUGAACCAACUAGAGUCAUGUCUUGUGCACACAUCAAGGCGUGGACAUUCCUGCCUUUCUUUGUUUCAGUGUUUCGGGUCACAGGAAGGCAUAGUCGGUGGUAUUACAUAGAGUCACGCUAGCAUGUGACUCUAUCAGACGGAGACGUACGAGCGUUUAGUGUUAAGGGUCACAGGCACGGGCAUAAAACGCUCAAAGGCAUGGUCGGUGGUAUUACGGACACGAACUCUUGUUAAUAAAAGUUCACAAGAUAUGAACUCUCUACGGAAACAAUUGCGUACUGAGUUGGGUCACGCUGUUUUCAUGAUGUUACGUAUAUUAUUCGAUAGAAGCGUGGAGGUUUGUCGUUGUAUGUGUCACAGUGUUAAGGUUCACAGGCACGGGCGUAUAGUCCUCAAAGGCAUGGUAUUGUAUUAUAUAGAGUCAUGCUCGCCUGCUUUGUGUUCCGAAUGAUUCCGUCCACUCGAUCAGAUGAAGAAGCACGGUCGUUAAGCCCACAAAGGCAAAGCUUUGUCUUACGCACAGUCACGUUCGUUCUUUAAUUGCGGAGACCCAGCGGAAUUCGAGAGACGCUGGUCUGGUAAAUUGCUCGCACGGUCGUGAGUCCCAGAAAGUCACAGCGUGCCAUUGUGUAGAAUCACGUUAGUUUCUCUACGUGUUCCAAAUGAAUCCGUUGAACUGUCCGCGAGCACAGGCACCGCCAUGAAGCCCAUACAGGCAUGGUUACGCUUUACACAGAGUCACAUUCGUGCCUUUAUUGGGGAAACCCAACGGUUCAACGGGCGUCUCCUUGGAUUCGGCUGUGAACGCCACAUGUCGUUGCUCCGGAAACCCAGUGGUCCGACGGGCGUCUCCUCAAUAAAUAGUGUUGGUACCCUAGCUAAUAACAACAUAUAUCAACAUUGGUCCUAGUUGCAGCUUCACAGGACCACUUAUGCCACACAUGGAGCACAGCCUCAGUGCAUGGUUUUUUUUCGUGUGUCUGUGUCUGGAUAAAUGUCUUAAGGAAAGGCAAAUUGGUUCGGCCGAACACACUGCAUCAGCCGAACUAGCUAGACCCUUUACCUCACACCCGCACGGCCCUGGUUCGAAUCCCCGUGAGGCAGUUGGAAAUGCCAAUUUUUUCUAUGGGUACCGACACGUGGGGUCCCCUUGUCAUCCACCCAAACGCGCCACCACAUGUACCACAUUUGGCUAAGUGCACCUAGUACUCCACAUCAUUUUCAACUUCUUCGUCCCCUUCUCGACAAGCGCCGCCACCGCCAGCUCCCGACGACGCCUCUCUUCGCCGCCGGAUCUGCGCGGCCGCCGCCAACUCCGGCAAGUAGGUGAGAUCUCCCCUCAUCCCCCUCGCGAAUCUUCUUCCCUUCCCAAACCGCAUGCGUCUCCCUCCGGGCGCGGAUCUGAUCCAGAAAUUUUAUUUGAUACAUGCGGUAGAUGAUUUGUUGAUGGAUAUGAUGGUUCUUUGAUAGAUUGAUGGAUGUCGUAGUGUAGGAUCUGAGCCGUACCAGGGAAAAGAGAGGCCCUGUGCAAAUCAAAAUGAGGGCCUAUGUGUGAAAAAAUAAAUCAAAAUAAUUCAUCUGUUCUUCACUAUAUUAUGUAGUACUGACAUUGGAUUGGAUCUGAUUGGGAUUUAUUAGGUAGAUGAUACUGGCAUUGCCAUUGUCAUUGGCAUUGCUUUUUUAGGUAGAUGAUAGUAAACAGAUUUAAUAGGCAUUGCAUUUUAGGUUAUCACUAUGAAUUAUUAUAUGUAUGAUCUUUGUAUUGUACUAUGGUAGCGUACAAUUCAACUUAGAGUUCAACAUGUUCUGUGUAGAAUGGAGGAAGCACCGUGUCGACUGUGCAAGUCACGGUGCCGGACCAGCCUUUGUACUUCCACGUUGUUCGGCAUCUACUUCCAGCCUACUUUUGUUUUUGCAACGGUAACAAUUUAUAUGAACCUUCUGACAGUUCAUUAAUUUUGUUUUUUAUUGCUAUUUCCACUAAUGCAUUGUGUUUGUUAUUUGUUUUUAUCUUGCACAGAUCGUCCCAUGCAAUGUGAGAUUGGCAUUCAAUGAGCUUGUCGGAGACACCGUGACCUUCGACGCUCUUGGGGGGCCGUACACUAUGCAGGUCGAUAAGGGGCGAACGAUAACCCAGAUUGGAGGAGAUGAAUGGGAUCGUUUCAUCGCCCGCUUGCGUCUUAGUGGGGGUGAAUUGAUCAGCUUCUCCUUUAGAGGAGAAAGGCCCAGGAUUUCUGUUAUCUAUCUGAAUUUGAUUUCCGAUAGUGAGGAUGAAGUUCAUGAGGAGAACGAUGGUGAGGAUUCAGAUGAUGAUGAGAACCCACUUGAUGAAGCACUCUAUGCCCAAAGACUGAGGCUGAGCGGCGAUGAAACGUGCAACCUCUGGGACAUGCUUCCGCUACGUGAAGACUACGUCGGGAUGCCAUUCGUGACCCGCCUCACAAGGACGAAUGUUAAACAGCAUCUCAUGGUAUGUUACUUACAGUGGUAAUUACAUGAUAUGCAUGCUUAAUAAGUGUACUAGUUGAUAUGAUAUGCAUGUUGUAGUACUGUGAUGAUAUGCCAUGUGUAGAAUUCAUUUAGUGCAGAAUUUUUUAUGGUAUGCAUGUGUUGUAGUAAUGCGAUAUAUCCUUAUGUAGUGUAGUAAUAUGCGAUGAUAUGUUUAGUGUACGUAGUAAACUAAUGAUAUGCUUAAUUACUGUAGUAAUUUGAUGAUUAGCAUCUAGUGUAGUGAUGUGAUGAUAUAUAUGCUCAGUGUUGAAUCCAAUGAUAUAUGUGUGUGCAAGUGUAUGAUUUGCUGAUAAUUGCACGUGACAUGCUCAUAUAUCAUAUCAACUGUUUUCAGAAAUUACCUAAGAGGUUAUCUGUUAGUUGUGGCAUCGAGCCGCAUGAAGAAGGCAUGGCUGCUGGACUAUGCCUUACCAGAACGGGCUCCAUCACCACCUGUGCCUACGCAGUGGACACGGACGGUCGCACUGUCUUCAACCGGGCGGGGUGGAAGAAGUUCCUUCAUGGCAAGAAUCUUCGGGUAGGUCAGGGCAUGCUACUCACUGUUGCGAACACCCGUCGCCAUGACUUGAGGAUGAUGAUCACCAUCAACCUCAUUUAGAACUGGCUGGGCCAUGUUUCGAUGUGAAAUGAACUUGGUAUGUUAGCUCUUGUUUCCAAGUACUUGCCGUGUAUUACUGUACCUAUCUAUCUAUAUAUAUAUAUAUCUAGGUUUAGUAAAUGGACCAUGUAUCGCUGUGAAAUGAACUUGUUAUGUUUGGGGCUUGUUUUGUUGUUGCCCCAGCGGUUAUUUGAGACUUCCUCCUACUUGAAACUGUCUUGACUUGUUGUUGGAUGCUUGGUGUUGUUGCUUUAUUUGAGACUUCCAUCAAUCCUAUGGAUGAGAAGGCGAAGGCGAAGCUCGACCUUCAGUACGACAAGCUCAAGCUGGACACAUACGUUAUGACAAGCUCAAGCUGGACACAGGCACGGGCAUGAAGCGCUCAAAGGCAUGGUCGGUAGUAUUAUUACAUAGACUCACGCUAGCCCGUGACUCUAUCAGCCGGAGAUGCACAGGCGUUUGGCCCACAGAGCUGAACCUUUGUCUUACGCAAAGGAAUCAUGUGGUAUUAUAUAGAGUCAUGUUCGUUGUGUCUGUUUUCCGAAUGAUUCCGUCGACUCGUUUAGACGGAGACGCACGGGUGAGAAGCCCAUCGAGGCAUACUUUACUAUUAGAGAGAGUCACGUUCAUGCGUUUAUUGCGCAAACCGAACAGAAUUGGGUUCUGAUAUGAACACUCGCUGUUUACUUUGUGAGGCAAUGAGUGGCAGAUUAGAGAGACACUGUUUUUGAAGCGCUCAAAAGGCAUGGUCGAUGGUAUUACAUAGGCUCACGGAGAUGGACAGGCAUUUAGCCCACAGAGCUAAACCUUUGUCUUACGCACAGGCACAGGCGUUUUCUCUGUGAGGCACGGAAUGGCCUAUGCGAGGGGCGCUGUUUUUAAAAUCUUAUUUCCUUGUAUUUAAAAGCACGGACGUGAACUCCCUACGGACAUGGUUCCGUAUUGAGUUGCGUCACCCUUCUUUCUUGAUGUUACGUAUAUUAUUCGAUAUAAAAGGCGUAGACGUUCGUGGCUAUCUAUAUUUCCUUGUAUUUAAAAGAUAGCGACGGCACACUUUUAAACAAAGCACAAGCACAGUGGUUCCACGACAAGCACGUCUCAAUUUGCAGAAACAGCACUGUCGUGAUUCUACAGCACGCUAUGUUCUAGGCUGUGCACCAUGUUUCCAGCCAAACGUUCACCACAGGAUCAUGGACACACACAGAGGAAGUGCCGUGCAGUGAUAACAGACGCACAGUCUUAUAGGUACAAGAGGCACGAGGAGGCAUGUAGAUUAACAUCACCACAAAUGAAACAGAUUAUACAUGUGCACGCAUAUAGAGAGAUGCAUAAAAAGUGGACUACAAGAGAUAAACUAAGUUGGUAAUACAAAACGAUCGAUGAUAUUAAUUAAUAAUGGAAAUUAACGAGAGGCAUACAAUAUUAGAGUCAAAUUUAUAGUAGAGCACACACAAUAAAUAGAAGUCCUGAUCAUGAUAUAUCGACUGGGUCACUGGAAACUCAAAAGUAGUAGUAGCUAGCAUAAAUAUAUAGAACUUGCCUCCAAGCAUGUGGGAUGUGGCUUGCAGCAAAUGAAUGGAGAGCCAAGGCAAGGACCUAAUCAAGGCGCCCGGGCUUGUGCCCUUUAUGGUCCAGAGGUUGCACGAGAAGUGGGGGCGGCGUCGGCGAGGUGGAUGUGCUCCUGAACGAGCUUCGCCAAAGUUUGCCUGUGGUCGAAGUAGGCCGCCAUGGUCGACUCAUGGACGGCGCUGCAGGUGUCCUCGUAAACAAUCUAUCUGUAGAUCUUCCUGAACUUGUCGAUGUCAUCAUGCAUGAUGAGGCGCUGCGCGGCGAGAGCGACCUCCAGGUGGUCCUCCGGCGGCGUGCCGACCGGGAGCUGCAGGGCCAUCAGCGCGCGAAAGAGAUCGUUCCCAUGGAGGCCGGCGAGCCAGGUCGCGGAAGCCGAGGCGGAGGCUCGGCCUUUACGGAGGCGACACAUGGAAUGGAGGCGAGCAGUCAGGUCCUUCACCUUGCUGUUGGCGAAGCUGAAAUUGUGGAUGAAGUCUUCCAGUGCACCCUUGAGCCAGGCGGCGAAGCUGGCGUCGAAGAAGGAACGCGCCGUGGCGGACAUCAGCAGCCCCUGGAGGCGCUGCAGCGUGUUGGGCGGUGGGUUGCUCUCCCUGACCACCUCGAUAAGACGUACGCUGGUCGCCUGAAUCGCCUCCAUGGCCGAUCUCUCACCGUCUCGCUCUUGCUCUGAUGGCCAGAUAGUUGGAUCAGAGUAGAAGAAGAUGGAUGGCGACGCUUUUAAGCAAAGCACAAGCACAUCGGUUCCACGACAAGCACGUCUCGAUUUGCAGAAACAACACGGUCAUGGUUCUACAAGACACUAUGUCUAGAUUGUGCAGCGUGUUUCCACCCAAAACGAUCACCACAGAGUCACGGACAUGCACAAAGGAAGUGCCGUGCAGUGACAACAGACGCACAGUCUUACAGGUACAAGAGGCACGCCCGCCUCUGUAUUUUAAAAUACUUCAGCUAACGAGUUAUUUGGAGAGGCACGGCCGUCACAUGACACGUGACUGCGUGUUCCAGAUGAUUUUAGUCGCUCGCUCUAUUCACAAAAGGAAAUCCAAACAUACAGACGGUGCACAAAAACAUGAAAACUUGAUAGUUUUUUGAGCUUGUGAGUUGCUUCACGGCUGAAGAACACAAAAACAAGUUCCAGACAACCUCACAAACAAUGGAUAAAGUACAAGCUGGAAGUCCAAACUGGAAAGCAUGCAACAACACCUAUCUCUGACAGCCGGAUAACCGUUUUCAACAUCUACAUGUCAAUGGAUCCGGCAAAUCCAUGACUGGCCACUGGUUUGUCCAGAUGUGUACUUUUAAAUCCAAGUUCAUAUGCCUACAAUACCCUGACAAUAUAAGACGAGCACGUCUAGAAGCCUUGUUGCCCCAUUGAAGCACCUCUUCUUGAUGUUCAUAAAAUCCUUCAGUGAUGUUGUCUGGGGGGGAGAGAAACUUAAGCCUCAUAGUCUCUAACUCCUUUGAGUUCCAAACAAAGAACAUUGCAAAUUCAAUGUUUUUGUUGCAGUGUACAUAUUUUUCCAGCGUUAGUGUCUUCAAGCGAAUGUCAUGCUGUUUGAGAAACACCCGGUGCUUGUGGCGCCACUUAUUUGUUACACCUUCCUCGCGGCAUACUCCUCCCUGAAAAUGCAUGAAGAGUGAGAAUACUCGAGGACUACAAAGGGAGAUAGAGGACUCCAAUAUAGUACGCUAUGCAUUGUAUGCUCUUUCAAUGUGUCUGGAAAUCGUUACCUCGAUAAACAGGUUCUCUAGGCUAAGAAAGCAUCGCAUCAAGGCAACAACCUUGUUCAGAUUUAAUGACAUGCGGAUAAGCAGGGUCUUCACAGAUUGGACCGCCUUUGCUAGGCUGACUACAGACAAAGCCUGCAUCAAGCACAUAUCAUAAAAUUAGCUGGAUAAAAAGGUCGCGUGACAUGAAACUUCGGCACUGCAGGGAAUGCAAGUAAAGAGUAUAGUGCAAAAGGUGAGUACCUCGAUAACUGUAGAGCCAAAAAUAAUCUUGGAUUCAGGAAAUCCUUCAUAAAAAUUACCCAAACACUCAAGCUUAGGUGCAGAAAAGACAGUUAUCUGCAAGUGCCGGCUCUGUAUAUCGUGAAUCAAUCGUUUAAGUGAGGGCGCAUCCUCAACAACGAGUUCGCCAUUCUCACAAAGGAUACAUAUGACUUCAACUUUGCCUGAGUUUAUUCUGAUGCAGUGGUCCAAGUUAUGGGAAACCAGCAGGAGCCACUCGAGGGCAGGGCAACCAUGGCUGAUUAUGCUUUGCAGUGAGACGUCUGAUAUAUCAACUUCCAAAAACAAAAGCCUCUUGAGGAGUGGAAGAUUAAAUGAUCGUGCAUACUUAUUAGGUAUUUGGCAAAGAGCAAAUGUGACGGUGUGCAGUGAGGAGGAAAAUAGCAGCGUGGAAGUCGGUGGUGAGAGCGCGGACGAAGAGAUUUCGUGUGGUGUGUGAUGGUUUUUCCCACAAAACGUGGGAACAUGUAAUAGAACUCAAGAACCUGGAGAUUCUUCAGUCUUGGGGAUCGAAGCCAGGCGUGAACUAUAGAGGGUCUGCAGUGGAGGUAGCACGCCGGAAGGCAGAGACGAUGAACUGUGCCCCCACGACCGGAGAGGAUGGCUUCCGGAAGGCACGAACCAUCAACAUCAGGUUGAAAACUACACCGAGUUCCAAAAUAUCUAAUGCGAAUGACAUCUUUACUGGGGAGCAUGGACAGUACGUCGACAUGAACUAUUUCUAGGGGCUUAAAAAGACGACUGACAGGGAUCUCACUAUAGUCGAGAUUGAGAGGAGCGGUGUGCCAAACAGGGUGCCACCGACGUGCGAGGAUUUGAGUGCGAACGCCUUCCUUAGUGGACAAACGGGAUAUGAUCUCACCGAGGACACCGUCCGGGAGGUCGCUGAUGCGGUCCGGACCAGCAUGCUCUUCUUGAUCCUCGGAUCCAGUAGGCGCACCCUCGCCGCUUCCAGCCACUACCGCCAAACCACCAGAGGAAGGCGUCACCAGUGGCGCGAGCCUCGCCCUCUUGCUGCUCGGGGCACCGGAGUUGACCUCCCUCUCCGUCUCCAUUGCUGGGAUCGCGCCGCCUGCGAGCGCCGCUUUAUGUGGCGUGGAUCUGGACUGCCGUGAGAUCCCUGUCCCACGUCUUUUUAACCCUCUAGAUCAAGUACAUUUCGAGUUGGUCACCGCGAACUCCGCCACACCGGAGGAACUCGUCCGCGUAACAUACACUGGAACUUUUUUUAGAGGAGAACAUGUCGGUGAAGAUAUUUCAUAUGAUGAUUCGUACCUUCCAGAGGCCAUCCUCUCCGGGCGUUGGAGUGCAGUUCACCGCCUCUCCAUUCCAGCGUCCUACCUCCACUGCAGGCACUCCAUAGUCGACGACUGGCUUCGAUCCCCAAGACUGAACAAUCUCCAGGUGCUCGAGUUUUACUACCUUUUCCCACCAUGCUUGAGACAACAUGACAUAGGGCCAUUGUCAUGCCCUUCGCUCAUGCCAUCACCACCAGCAUUAAACCCUCAGAUUUCCUCCUCUCUCCGAACCAUCGCCUUUGCUCUUUGCAAGUUACCAGACAAUUAUGUACGGGUGCUUAAACUACCACUGCUCAGGAGACUCUCGCUAGUAGAUGUUGAUGUAUCAGACGUCUCAUUACAAAGCAUCAUCAGCUCUACUUCUCCUACACUUGAGUCUCUACUGCUUGUUUGGACAGUCAGGCACCAUUGCAUCAGAAUAAACUCACCUAACCUAAUAAGCAUCGACAUUUCUGGUUACUAUGGGAAUUUUUUUAUAGAAGAUGCCUCGUCACUUCAACGGUUGCUUUGUGAUGGUGAUUGCAAAAAGUUGCGGAUAGUUAUCACCUCUGCACCUAAACUGCAGAUCAUGGGCAAAUUAUCUAAUAUUUUCUAUGAAUCUGGCGUCACAAAUGACCGUAUAAUUAUUCAGGUACUGACUUUCAACAAUACGUUCACCUCCAUUCAUUGGUACGAACAAGUUCCAUGCAAUUCAACCUUUACUCUACUAAUAUUAUGUUUUAUUCUACAUGAAGUGUUUGCCGACAGUCAGCACAUCCACAACGGUUCAUUCUAUCAAGACGUUGUCUAUCAGCAUGGAUUAUGACCUGCACACAGUCUUUUCCUUGGUGGAACACUUCCGAAGCUUGGAAAACUUGUAUAUCGAGGUGAUGCUUCUCACACAAACUGUAAAACACAUACCAUGCAUGGUGUAGAACUCCAUUCAACAAAAAAACGUCACUUACAUUUGUAUGUAAUGGACAAAGGUGUAUAUAGUCAUGGACCAGUAUUAGGACAAAACUAAAAAAAAGCUUUUAUUACAACAGAGGUUAUAGAAUUAUUCCUUCACUUGCUCUCCCAGCAGAAUCACUCUUUAUGGAGCUUAACCAUUUCAAAUCUUCAUGUUUAUUCAGGAAAU
rnacentral:lncRNA from 1 species